UUCUUGAGUCAUACAUGAGUUGCGCGCACCGUUGCUCUCUUUCGGUUGCACGUGUUGAAUUGUCUUUUCCGUCACACGUGAGAGGGGGUAUUAUAGUAUAUGUGAAUUGUACUGGCCCUUUUCAUCAGUUCGGAUUUUUGGUUGCGUUGGCUAAUGUAUGAAGCUUAACAUUUCCAUUCUUUACAUUUUCCUAUCUAUUCCUCUUAUCCUAUCUUUUUCUUUCCUUUUUCUUCUGUCUCACAUUUUUCAUGGAGAGACCGCCUCCUGCAAAGGAGCCUCUCUUUUUCUUCUCUCUCACAUUUUUCAUGGAGAGACCGCCUCCUGCAAAGGAGCCUCUNNNNNNNNNNNNNNNNNNNNNNNNNNNNNNNNNNNNNNNNNNNNNNNNNNNNNNNNNNNNNNNNNNNNNNNNNNNNNNNNNNNNNNNNNNNNNNNNNNNNUCUUUUCUCGUUUGUUUUCGUACGUAGUCGGACCCUGCUCUUAUUCAUGAUCUUUCUCGUUUGUUUUCGUCCGUAGUCGGACCCUGCUCUUACUCAUGAUGACUAUGUAAUGUACUGAUGUGACUCUGAUGUAGCUUGUGGCGAGUGUAAGCCAAUUCUAUAUAUAACUCUUCUUUUCAGUACAUGUACUUGUAACGAUAUCCAUUCUUGCGACACGACAAGAUGCGCUUCUAUUCUUGACGAGGCCCUCGUGCCAAAUUGAGGAUAGGGUCGCAUCUUGGGCGUGACACUUUGAGAAAGCUUUAAUGAACCGUCUAUAGAAACCAUCAUGACCAAGGAAGCUUAUUACACCUUUGAUAUCUUUUGGGCAAGGCAUUUUCUCUAUUGCAUCAACUUUGGCCUUAUCCACCUCAAUACCUUAUUCAGAAAUCUUAUGCCCAAGCACUACACCUUCAUUCACCAUAAAGUGGCACUUCUCCGAAUUCAAGACAAGAUUAGUUUCUUCACAUCUCCACAAAACUAGAUCAAGGUUGCUCAAGCAAUCAUCAAAGGAAGUCCCGUAAACGGAAAAAUCAUCCAUGAAAACCUCAACAAUCUUUUCACACAAGUUAGAGAAUAUAGCAGUCAUAAAUCUUUGAAAGGUAGCAGUUGCAUUGCACAGACCAGAAGGCAAACGCCUAUAAGCAUAAAUUCCAAAAGGGCAACUAAAGGUUGUUUUCUCUUGCUCCUCUUUUGACACACGUACUUGAGAGAAUCCAGAAUAUUCAUCAAGAAAGCAAAAGUGUGUGUGCUUAGAUAGUCUUUCUAAGAUUUUAUCAUUAAAAGGUAAGGUGUAAUGAUCUUUUCUAGUAGCCUUAUUCAACUUCCUGAAUCGAUUACCAUCAUAUAACCAAUUCUAUCCUUUGUGGAAGAAGUUCAUUUUUAUCAUUAGGAACAACAGUUAUACCACCUUUCUUGGAAAAAAUGAACAGUACUUACUCAUCUACUAUCAACAAUAGGAUAGAUUAUACGUGCUUCUAGAAGUUUUAGUAUUGCAGUUCCUACCACCUCUUUCAUAUUAGGGUUGAGAUAGUGUUGAUAAUCUGCCAGCAGCACGAGCUGCUGGCACAUCAAAAGUGACAUCGGGACAUUCAUAUUUCGCUUUGUCACUCGUGGAUCCAGGUUUGGAUGCCUCAGACAACAUCAGGCCCAUUCAUUUUGCAGUAGAUGCCCUCCAACAACCUCCCAAAUGAGCUUAAUGCACCUUUAAGUUAUGUAGAAUGGAUCUCUUUAUGCUUGUUGAAUAUGGCAGACAUAUGUGGGGGCAGCUAGAAUGCAUAGAAACAAAAAACAGAGGACAGGGAAAAUUACAUUAGCUACAUAGUUUUGAUAUUUUCUGUCAAGCAAAAGGAUACGAUGCGGGAAAAAAGAGAGUUGCAAAAAGGAAAUGUUAUAUGGCCCACCUUUAACUCCUCAAAUGUGGGUAGCGGAUGCAGCCACUCCUCCAAAUAGCCCCACACAUCAUCACCACCCUUCGUGUUAUCCGUAGGUGGCUCAUGCACAUUCCCCACUAUGCCAUCAGCAUCACCCAUACCAACCUUUGGCGGUUCUUGAAUGCCAUCAGCACCAUCCACACCCGAAAUUUGUGUUGAGCACGCACCAGCUCCACCUUGGUCAUUUAUCACUGGCGGCUCCUAUGUCACACUAGCUUGGUUGGAUAACUGGGCAAGCUAGUCUACGUAUGACAGAAACUUGGUUGUUGUGUAUGGUGUAAUGGAGAUGAACCGCAUUCCAGAAAACAAAACAUAGGGAAAACACAUGAAAAUGUGACAGGAAUCCAGAGUUGCAAUUGCAACAAGGAAACGAGAAGGUAUUGUUUCCAAAAUUUGAAAAAGGGAUACUUACAGGGCGCUUCCCUNNNNNNNNNNNNNNNNNNNNNNNNNNNNNNNNNNNNNNNNNNNNNNNNNNNNNNNNNNNNNNNNNNNNNNNNNNNNNNNNNNNNNNNNNNNNNNNNNNNNUAAUUGCCUCUAGUUUAUUUUCCUGUAUAUAGGUUAUUUUCCUGCAUUUAUGUGUGGCAUUAUUUUGUUGUUGCAACCCCACAUAUUUUAUAUGUUUCCGGGGUAGAAAAAUCCAUGGGAUUUUCUGUGCAAUUAGUUUUAGCUUUUGAGCAAGUUAGUUCGCGAGAUAUUUUGCUAUGUUGCCCUCUUGUCUAUUUCGUAGGAUUUAUUCCGUGCUCCGUUUGAUUAAGUUGACAACUAGGGAGUUGUUCUUGGGUGUUUAGACUAGCCCCUGAUAUUUUUGGUUGCAAUGGAAAUGCAUGUUUAGGUGUAGUUUGCUUGCUCUCAAGUUGCUAGAAAUCAUGCUGAUUUGGAGGAGCUGAAAUAUUUCUAAGUCUGGAAUCUAUUUUUUUUUGUUGCUCUUUUGUUUUGCUUCUAUCUUGUGAUCUGUAGCUCUUUUGAGGUUGGUCCAAUGGAGUUAGUUGUACCCCUUUUGUUUCUCUAGCAUGCUGUAAAUUUUCAUGCCACUUGGAAUCCUGUAGCUAUAGGUUUUGUUGCUGUCAAUAUAGCUUCAGAUCGAAAACUGCACUUUCAUGAGGUGUAAUUUUCACUAAGUCUGAAAUGGUGUGUGAGAUGCCAUUUUGUGUCUUCUUUUCCUAGUGCUCCUUGCUGCCAUGCUAGUUGUUGUUAGUUGUUUGUAGUAGUGCGUCUUGCCCUCUUUCGUGCCAUGCCUUGCUUGAGUUUAUUGGAGUUGUGUAGCUCGUAGUUGUGGGGCGUAGAAAAUACUAUGUGGCUGAUUUUGGCAGAUUGUAGUGAUUUCUCGUUUUGCUCGUAGUUGUUAAACCGUAGCUCCGAUUUGAUCGUGUCCUACAUGAAACUUGCUUAGAAUCUUGUGUAGUUUCAUUUUCUCUUGCUGUUUGUAUGUUUUGAAGUGCUCGUAGCCGUCAUUGCACACAUAUUGCAUUCAUGCCAUCAUAUCUUGCGGUGCUUGUAUCUUUUGAACCGUAGCUCCGUUGGAGAUGUUCUUUAUGUGUAGAUUGCUUGAAAUGACGCAUAGAAUCACGUGAACCUAUUUGUUUUGCUGUUUAACAACCAAUUAAAUGUGUUAGUUCAGAUCUGGACAGAAUUGUAAAUUAACUUGUGAGGUCGUUUCGGAGGUGCUAUAAGACAUUUCCGACCUCAUUUAAAAUGCCUAGAUAGGUAGUUUAAUUUCCGCUUCACCUCUUCCCAUGUUUAACCACAUUUAAUAUUGUCGUGUAUCUAAUCGGGAUAGAACUAAAUAAUUAAACGUGGAGUUUCGUCAAUAUGCAACUCGUUGCAUAUUGAACUUCACUUAAUGUGUAGUGUUUGAUUGUGUGAUUUGUCAUGCCGUGACUUGCAUGUUUUCAGCUGCUCAUGCAUCAUUUGUGUUGUGCAUCGUGUGGUGAUUUCCGUGUGGUGAUUUGUGUUUCCGGUUUGCUUCGUCUCGAUAGAGCUCCGCACGCAUGCCGGAUUGUGAGGACCCGUUCGACUACGCCGGUUCGUCUGCUUCACGGAGGCAUUCUUCUUCCAAGCGGGAUCUCAGGCAAGAUGACCAUUUCCCCAGAUACCAUUACUAUCAUUACCAUGCUAGUUAUUUCGACGCUAUCGAUUAUGUCUCGUUGCCUACCACAUGUUAAAUAUUAGCCUCUCAACAAUGCCAUGAAAACUCUCAACCAUGUUCAACCUAGCAAACCACUGAUUGGCUAUGUUACUGCUUGCUUAACCCUGUUGUUAGCGAUGCUAGUUGCAGGUGCAUUGGUUCCAUGUGAAAGCAUGAGUUCCUUGUUAUAUCACCAUAUUAAAUGCUAUUUAAUUUAAUGCACCUAUAUAUUUGGUAAAAGGUGGAAGGCUCGGCCUUUCUAGCCUGGUGUUUUGUUCCACCUUUGCCCCCUUAGUUUCCGACUACCGGUGUUAUGUUCCAUAAAUGAGCGCUCCUAACACGAUCGAGGUUGUUAUGGGGACCCCCUUGAUAAUUCGUUUUAGAUUAAAGCUGGUCUGGCAAGGCCCAACUUUGGUACUACAUUUGCCUAAACACCUAAUAAAAUUGCAUAGGGACUUUCCGGACCCCGAGGAUAAUUUAAUCAACCCCCGGGCCAGUUCUCCUCAUGAGUGUUGGUCCCACCUGAGCGCUUUCCGGCGCCCCUCUAGUCACCCGGAGGUUUAGCGAUCCCGAUGUCUAGCUCAUCCGUGGUGUCUUGAGAACGAGGUACGUGACUCCUAUCGGGAUCGUCGACACGUCGGGCGGCCUUGCUGGAUUAGUUUUACCUUUGACGGAAUAUCUUGUGCAUCGGGAUUCCGGUGAUGCUUUGGGUAAUCUCAGAGUUGAGGUUUUCCACUAAGGAAUACGACGAGAUCGCGAGCUUCGUGAUUGAGGAUUUCUAUGCGGCUUGUGGUAAUUUGUGAUGGACUAGUUGGAGCACCCCUGCAGGGUUAAAUAUUUUCGGAAAGCCGUGCCCGCGGUUAUGUGGCAACGUGGAAACUUUGUUUAACACUGGUUCUAGAUAACUUGAAGCCAGCUUAAUUAAAAUAUGCCAACUGUGUGCGUAACCGUGACUGUCUCUUUCGUGAGUUCCUUCUCCGAUCGAGGAAACAGUAGUUCAGGAUCAUUCAUUUGAUCAACAGUAGUUCACGUCCGCUAUGCGUAGAUCUUCCCCCUCUUAUUUCUGGUACUCGUAAGUGUAGCCACCUAAUAUAUGCUUAGCCGCUGCUGCAACCUCACCACUUAACCUUACCUCACCCAUUAAGCUUUGCUAGUCUUGAUACCUUUGGAAAUGAGAUUGCUGAGUCCCCUCUGGCUCACAGAUUACUACAACACCAGUUGCAGGUACAGGUAAAGGUUACUUGACGCGAGCGUGUUGAUUGUUCAUUUGGAGUUGCUUCUUCUUCUUCUUCAUCGAUCUAGGAUGGGUUCCAGGCCGGCAGCCUGGGAUAGCAAGGAUGGACGUCGUUCUNNNNNNNNNNNNNNNNNNNNNNNNNNNNNNNNNNNNNNNNNNNNNNNNNNNNNNNNNNNNNNNNNNNNNNNNNNNNNNNNNNNNNNNNNNNNNNNNNNNNAUUGAAUCGGUGGGUUUAAAUAUUUAAUUCUUGAAACAACUUCUCUUCGAGACUCCUCCACUAACAAGAAUGCUAUAACACCACCUCAGAGAAUAAAGGAGGAAGAAUUGCACUUUGAAAUGCAAGACAAAGAAUAUUUGAGGUUCUCCAACAAGAAUCUUGAAGAACACCAUGAGAAUGAAUUUGAUAUCAUGAGCCAUUCCGGAAGAAGAAUUGAAAUCACUUUGAGAAAACAAUAAUGAGAAUUAUGUUAUUCUUAUCCUUCAUCAAGUUAAAUUGAUGACAAUCACGGAUUUAGCAUACCACUUAUGCUUCUUGAAAAAUAUUAAAAAGAGAUAGAGAAAGGGCACAAACUAGGAGAAGCUUUGAACGAACCACCGGCAAGAAUUUCAAACGAAAGGGAAAACUUUGAAUGAAUGGAGACACAAUAUAAUGAAGAGAUCAUGAUCCACCUAGAAGAAACUUGAACAAGGCAUCGUAAUAAUUGAGAUACGAGCGAAGGGACGACAAUUGGGAAGAAUUUAUGAUUGAAAGCUGAAAGCUAAGAACGAAGAAAUCUUCUGAAAUGACGGCCUUCGGAGGAUCAAGAAAUGAAAACAACUCUGAAAUGCACGAGUUAGAUAUGGAAGGAAUUACUCAUGAUCAAAAACAAUUGAGAAGACAGAUGAAGCUGAAUUGACAAUCUUCAACAGAGUGGACAAUAUUUAAGAGAAACACUUCUUCGGUCUUCUAAGCAGAAAAUGAUGAGGAGAACACCACCAAGAAUAACUGAGACACUCCAGAAUGAUGAAGAAUGAAAGGUUGAGCCAAAUAUGAGAAAUAAUUUUUAAGCAAUCUUGGAGAAGGAAUAUGACUGAGCAAAUUCAUACUUACGACAUAAUUGAAAAGAAUUAGAGAUCUCCGAAAAAAUAUUAGAAGAGCCACAUAAUAUCAUAGGAGAAACAUGUGGGUUAUGGGCCCACUGAAAGAAAACACCGUUGAAACAAUUUAUUAGAAAAGAGAGAUUGCACCGGUACAAAGAAAACUUGAUGAGGUGAGAGCCUUCAAAUAAUUGAAAGGAUUGAAAACAAGAAGCUUCUGAGAUAUAUUCAGCACUCCGGAUUGAACAAAGAUGGAUGAAUAACAAGAGAGGCUUGAUAAGAAUUUUCAACACGGGAACGAAUUUAAAGGAUGAAAAAUAUAUGAUGAACACGGAGAGCUUGAAUUGGAUCCACUGAAGAAGAAAACAAGAAUGAAGAAUGAUGAAGUAGCAACUCCUGAGAAUAUUCACAAUGAAUCACCGGAUACAAAAGAAAAUAAAGAUAAAGGAAGCAAUAAUGAAAGGAAGACACUUGGAUGAUAACUGAAUCACUGAAGAAAAAGGGUGGGAGGGUGGGGAAAAACAAAUACAACGUGGGACAGAUGAGAUGAACUUCGGAAGAAAUGAGAGAUUGAUCUUGCAAAAUUGGAGAGGAUUGAAUUAACUUGAAGAGAAGCACUCGAUGGAAAAAAGAAUUGACAUGAUGACUCCGGUUGACAAGAAUUGAAAAGAUAGUUUGAUUGAGCAAAAGAAAUUGAAUUCCCAUAAAAAUAUGAGAACACUUCUUAGAACAAAAUGAAUUCACCACUUGACAUCGAAGCAACUCGAAUGACCAUAUUCCAGCAAACCAAAGGAUGAGGCUUACAACACAAGCCGGAACAAAUUCAUGACAGAGAUUUCAUCCAAUAUGAAAGUGCGUUAUAUCGACUAGGGGGGGUGAAUAGGAGCUUUUAGAAUUUCAUCACUAAGGAAAUUCCUCACUGAUGACUGAUACGUCUCAAACGUAUUUGUAAUUUUUUAUGGUUUCACGCUGUUAUCUUGUCUUCUUUGAUUGUUUUAUGUACCUUUUAUAUCUUUUUGGGACUAACUUAUUAAUUCAGUGCCAAGUGCCGGUUCCUGUUUUUUCCGUGUUUUUGACUCUUUUCAGAUCUGAUUUUGGAACGGAGUCCAAACGUAAGAAAAACGCCGAAAUGAUUUUUUUCCCGAACGAAAGAAGACCAGGGGGCUUUUGGGCCAAGCCAGGUGGGCUCCAGGGAGCCCACAAGCCCUCACUCCGCCACCAGGGGGAGGCGGCGGUGGGCAGGCUUGUGGCCUCCCUGGCCGCCCCCUGACCUAGGUCUUUGGCCUAUAAAUUCCCAAAUAUUCCGCAAAAAAUCAGGGGAGCCUCGAAAAUACUUUUCCGCCGCUACGAGCUUCCGUUUCCGCGAGAUCUCAUCUAGAGACCCUUCCCGGCAUCCUGCUGGAGGGGACUUUGGAGUUGGAGGGCUUCUUCUUCAUCAUCAUCAUCGCCCCUCCAAUGACUCGUGAGUAGUUCACUUCAGACCUACGGGUCCGUAGUUAGUAGCUAGAUGGCUUCUUCUCUCUCUUGGAUCUUCAAUACAAAGUUCUCCAUGAUCUUCAUGGAGAUCUAUCCGAUGUAAUCUUCUUUGGCGGUGUGUUUGUCGAGAUCAGAUGAAUUGUGGAUUUGUGAUCAGAUUAUCUAUGAUAUAUAUUUGAGUCUUUGCUGAUUUCUUAUAUGCAUGAUUUGAUAUCCUUGUAAGUCUCUCCGGGUCUUGGGUUUUAUUUGGCCAACUAGAUCUAUGAUUCUUGCAACGGGAGAUGUGCUUGGUUUUGGGUUCUGCCAUGUGGUGACCUUUCCCAGUGACAGUAGGGGCAGCAAGGCACACAUCAAGUAGUUGCCAUCAAGGGUAAAAAGAUGGGGGUUUUAUCAUUGGUUUGAGAUUAUCCCUCUACAUCAUGUCAUCUUGCUUAUGGCGUUACUCUGUUCUUAUGGACUUAAUACACUAGAUGCAUGCUGGAUAGCGGUCGACGUGUGGAGUAAUAGUAGUAGAUGCAGAAAGUAUCGGUCUACUUGUUUCGGACGUGAUGCCUAUAUAAAUAAUGAUUGCAUAGAUAUCGUCACGACUUUGCGCGGUUCUAUCAAUUGCUCGACAGUAAUUUGUUCACCCACUAUCUACUUACUUUCAUGAGAGAAGCCACUAGUAAACACUACGGCUCCCGGGUCUAUUCACAUCCAUCGUUUACACCUCCGCUUUUACUUUGCUUUGUUACUUUGUUGCUUUCAGUUCUCACUUGGCAAACAAUCUAUAAGGGAUUGACAACCCCUUCAUACCGUUGGGUGCAAGCUUUUGUGUUUGUGCAGGAUCUUGCGAUACUCUUCCACCGGAUUGAUAACUUGGUUCUCAAACUGAGGGAAAUACUUAUCGUCGCUGUACUACAUCACCCUUUCCGCUUCGAGGGAACACCAACGCAAGGCUCCAAGGCCACGGGGGAAAUCCUUUGCAUACUUUCCUAGGAAGUCCCUUAAGGCGUAGCCAUAGCUGAAGGAUUCCUGGUGCCGUCAACACAACUAUUUCUGGCGCCGUUGCAAGGGAUACACAACAAACAUCAAGAAGUAUUUCUAGCGCCGUUGCCGGGAGGAGAGAUCAAGAUCUAUCCAAGUAGGUCUCACAAACUCAUCUCUUGCAUUUACUUUUGUUGCUAGUUGCCUCUCGUUUUCCUCUCCCCCACUUCACAUUUGCCGUUUUCAUUUGCUUUUCUCCUUUGCCUUUUUCGUUUGCCUUUCCUUUGCUUGAGUGUCUUGUGCCUUCAAUAUGCUUGCAUCUUCGCUUGCUGAAAAUCUAGUGAUAUGGAUCCUCAUCCACUAGCUAAUCUCUUUAAGAGACCCACUUAUGUGGAACGAAUUGCUAGUGAGUUGAGGGCACUUGAAUAUCUCUAUGGAGUUUUGCUUGAGAGGCGUGAAUCUAAAAAUCGUGAUGAAGAAAGUUAUGAAGUGAUUCACGAGAGCUCCUUGGAUGAAAAGCAUGAUUGCAAUGGUUUCACUAUAAAUUCUAUUAGUGACAAUCAUGCUAAAAAUAUGCAAAACCCUAAGCUUGGGGAUGCUAGUUUUGCUUUGUCCACUACUUGUUGCAAUAAUCAUGAUUGGGGUGAUGAUCUUUCUUAUGAUCUUUAAAAUUUGUUCAAACCUCAUGAUGAAUAUGAUAUUUGCAACAAUAUUUAAAGUGGGAUUGGAGAAGUCAUGACUUUAGUUGAUGAUAAUCCCACCAUUUUUGAAGAGCGACAACUUUNNNNNNNNNNNNNNNNNNNNNNNNNNNNNNNNNNNNNNNNNNNNNNNGCGUCGACUUUGCAUGCAUGUGGAUCGUGAAAAGAAUAUCCUAUGGGAUAGCUAUCUUGUUGAAUUUGAAUAUGAUCCCACAUGUAAUUGCUAUGAGAGAGGAAAAUAUUGUGGUAGAAACCUUCAUGUUACCAAAUCACCUCUCGUGAUGUUGAGAUUGCUCUUGUCUCUUUCUUCUUCCUUGCAUGUGGUAGCUAUUGGUUGUCUUGAUAAUUUGUUUUCCUAUAAAAUGCCUAUGCAUAGGAAGUAUGUUAGACUUAGAUGUGAUUUUACAUGCUUUAGGAAGCUCUCGUUGUGCUUCAAUUCUUGUCUUUUGUGAGAGCAUCAUUUAAUGCCUAGCUAAGGGCGUUAAACAAAAGCGCUUGUUGGGAGGCAACCCAAUGAAUCUAUCAUUUUUAUUUCUGUUUUGUGUUUUCCACACUUUCAUAAUUCUGUUAUGAUUGUGUUUUUUGUGUUUCUUUUUGCGUUUGUGCCAAGCAAAACCGUUAUGAUUAGUCUUGGGGAUGAUCGUUUGGUCAUGCUGGAAAAGACAGAAACUUUCUGCUCACGAAAAGAAUUUUCAUUUUUUUCUGUAAGAGAUUUUGAGUUGAUUCUUUUUGCUGCUAAUUGCUACGCAAAUUCUUCAGACUAUCGUAAUUGUUCAGAAUUUUUGAAGUACCAUAAUUAUACGAAAUAUACAAAUUGCUACAGACUGGUCUGCUGUUAACAGAUUCUGUUUUUGUUGUGUUGGUUGCUUAUUUUGAUGAAACUAUGGAUACUAUCGGGGGGGUAUUAGCCAUGGAAGAUUGAAAGUACAGUAAGCCAACAUUAGCAGAAGUAGAAUUUAAGUUUGCUACAGUACCUAAGGAAGUGGUGGUUUGCUUUCUUGUACUAAUGUUAUCACGAGUUUCUGUUUAAGUUUCGUGUUGUGAAGUUUUCAAGUUUUGGGUGAAGUUCUUAUGGACAAAAAGAUAAAUAGUGGCAAGAGCUCAAGCUUGGGGAUGCCCAAGGCACCCCAAGAGAUUCAAGGAUGUCGUAAAAGCCUAAUCUUGGGGAUGCCCCGGGAAGGCAUCCCCUCUCUCGUCUUCAAUAUAUCGGUAACGUUACUUGGGGCAAUAUUUUUAUUCACCACAUGUUAUGUGUUUUUGCUUGGAGCGUCUUGUAUCGUAGGAGUCUUUUAUUUUUUUGUUGUGUCACAAUCGUCCUUGUUGCACACCUAGAGAGAGAGACAUGCACGCACCGUGAUUUUGUCGAGCUUCACUUAUAUCUUUUGGUAGACAAUUCAGCUCACAUGUGCUUCACUUAUAUCUUUUGAGCUACAUACUUUUGCUCUAUGUACUUCACUUAUAUAUUUUAGAGCACAGCGAUGCGUGGCUUGGUAGUUGAUUUAUGCUUUGAAAGUAGUCUAAAAAGGAGUAGUUAUCCAAAGGGAUACGAAAACUUCCACCUUCAUGUGCAUUGAAUAGUUAGAGAAGUUUGAUUCAUCUCAAUUAGUUUUGAGUUGUGGUUAUGGUAAUUUUGAAGUCAUGCUAGUAAGGUGUUGUGGAUCUAGAAAUACUUGUGUUGAAGUUAGUGAUUCCCGUAGCAUGCACGUAUGGUGAACCGCUAUAUGAUGAAAUCUGAGCAUGAUUAGUAUAUUGAUUGUCAUCCUUUGCGUGGCGGUUGGGAUCACGCGAUGGUUUAUACCUACCAACCCUUCCCCUAGGAGUAUGCGUUGAAUGCUUUGUUUCGAUUACUAAUAAAACUUUUGCAACAAGUAUAUGAGUUCUUCAUGACUAAUGUUGAGUCCAUGGUUUAGAUGCACUUUCACCUUCCACCAUUACUAUCUUCUUAGUGUCGUGCAACUUUCGCCGGUGCACAAAACCCACCAUUAGCCUCCCUCAAAACAGCCACCAUACCUACCUAUUAUGGCUUUUUCAAAGUCAUUCCGAGAUAUAUUGCCAUGCAACUACCACCAUGACAUAUGCCACCACGUCUACAUUUCCAUUGCAUGAUCGUAAGAUAGCUAGCAUGAUGUUUCCAUUGAUGUCUAUGCCAUGCUAGAUCAUUGCCACGGUACACAACCGAAGGCAUUCCAUAUAGAGUCAUAGUUGCUCUAAGUUUUGAGUUGAAAGUGUGAUGGUCAUUAUUAAUGGAGCAUUGUCCCAUGUGAGGAAAUAAAAUAGGCCAAAUAAUCCCACAAAAGAAAAGAGGCCAAAGAGCCCACCAAAUAAAAAAUGAGAGAAAAAGAGAGAAGGGACAAUGCUACCACCUUUUCCACACUUGUGCUUAUUAAAGCACCAUGAUCUUCAUGAUUGAGAGUCUCUCGUUUUGUCACCACCAUAUAGCUAGUGGGAAAUUUUCAUUAUAUAACUUGGCUUGUAUAUUCCAAUGAUAGGCUUCCUCAAAAUUGCCUUAGGUCUUCGUGAGCAAGCAAGUUGGAUGCACACCCACUAGUUUUCUUUAAGAGCUUUCACAUACUCGUAGCUCUAGUGCAUCAUUUCUAUGGCAAUCCCUACUCAUUCACAUUGAUAUCUAUUUAUGAGCAUCUCCACAACUCAUUGAUAUGCCUAGUUAAUGCGGCUAUCUUCUCCUUUUUUGUCUUGCAACCUCCACUACAUUCCACACCAUCUAUAGUGCUAUAACCAUGGCUCAGGCUCAUGUAUUGCGUGAGAGUUGAAAAUGUUUGAGAAAGUAAAGGUGUGAAACAAUUACUUGGCCAAUACCGGGGUUGUACAUGAUUUAAAUUCGUUGUGCAAUGAUGAUAGAGCAUAGCCAGACUAUAUGCUUUUGUAGGGAUAACUUUCUUUUGGCCUUGUUAUUUUCAAAGUUCAUGAUUACUUUGCUAGUUUGCUUGAAUUAUUAUUGCUUCCACGUCAAUAGCAAAGUAUUGUUUUGAAUCUAAUGGAUCUGAACAUUCACAUCACAUAAGAGGAAUUACAAAGGACACCUAUGCUAGGUAGCAUGAAAGCAUCAAAAAUUCAUUCUUAUCACUUCCCUACUCGAGGACGAGCGGGAGUUAAGCUUGGGGAUGCUUGAUACGUCUCAAACGUAUCUAUAAUUUUUUAUGGUUUCACGAUGUUAUCUUGUUUUCUUUGGUUGUUUUAUGUACUUUUUAUAUUUUUUUGGGACUAACUUAUUAAUUCAGUGCCAAGUGCCAGUUUCUGUUUUUUCCGUGUUUUUGACUCUUUUCAGAUCUGAUUUUGGAACGGAAUCCAAACGGAAUAAAAACCCCGAAAUAAUUUUUUCCCGAAUGGAAGAAGACCACGGGGCUUUUGGGCCAAGCCAGAUGGGCUCCAGGGAGCCCACAAGCCCCUACUCCGCCACCAGGGGAGGCGGCAGUGGGCAGGCUUGUGGCCUCCCUAGCUGCCCCCUGACCUAGGUCUUUGGCCUAUAAAUUCCCAAAUAUUCUGCAAAAAAUCAGGGGAGCCUCAAAAAUACUUUUCCGCCGCCGCAAGCUUCCAUUUCCGCGAGAUCUCAUCUGGAGACCCUUCCCGGCACCCUGUCGGAGGGGACUUUGGAGUUGGAGGUCUUCUUCAUCAUCAUCAUCGCCCCUCCAAUGACUCGUGAGUAGUUCACUUCAGACCUACGGGUCCGUAGUUAGUAGCUAGAUGGCUUCUUCUCUCUCUUGGAUCUUCAAUACAAAGUUCUCCAUGAUCUUCAUGGAGAUCUAUCCGAUGUAAUAUUCUUUGGCAGUGUGUUUGUCAAGAUCCGGUGAAUUGUGGAUUUGUGAUCAAAUUAUCUAUGAUAUAUAUUUGAGUCUUUGCUGAUUUCUUAUAUGCAUGAUUUGAUAUCCUUGUAAGCCUCUCCGAGUCUUGGGUAUUGUUUGGGCAACUAGAUCUAUGAUUCUUGCAAUGGGAGAAGUUCUUGGUUUUGGUUUUGGGUUUAUGCAUACUUCCAAACCCUCACAAACUUGGUCACCUGGCGAUCCACAAUUGACUGCUGGAUUGCUCUAGACCAUGACACCUAACCGACUGGAGGAUGCACAGUCCUCCAAGGUAAAAGGCUUCAGUCCCACACAGGAACAACUUCUUCAGUGAUGCUCAAUCACUUGGUUUUCGGUUUGUGGUUUGGUGUUUGGGGUAUUUCCUCACUGAUGAAUUAUUCUCGAAGAGUCUGAGGAAUUUGGGUUGCUCUUAUGACAAGUGUUGGUUUCUAACGGAGCAGCCAACCAGCUAAUGGUUGUGGGGGCGGCUAUUUAUAGCCUGGGAGCAUCCCGACAUGAUUUGACAUUAAUGCCCUUAAAUAAUAUGAUUGUUGGUGUGGAUAAGACCAAUGAUGUGGCGCGACUAUCGGUAACGAUCGGGACCCUCAACUGUGAGAGUCCUCAUGUCUCUCAUAUUCCUCACUUGAGGCUUUUGGUAGGAUUAGGCUUGGGUUGAGCAUCAUGAGCAAAUUCAUUCCAAUCUGUUACUUUGACCCCCUUUAACAGUACGGUGUUCCUAUUAAUCAAGUGUGAAGAAAAUAAAACAGAAAGGAUAAAUCUUCAUGCUUCAAAUUCUUCCGAUUGAUUUUCUUCAGGACGCACCGAACUCCUCAUUUUCAAUAUCUUCAUGAGUAAUAUCAAUUUCAUCGCAAUUUCUUUGCGAUUCAAUUCUUCAGCUUCAGACCAAUUUCUUCAGCCGAAGAUAUACAUUUUUAGGGGUCGAUAUUCAUCGAAUAUUUCAAACUCCUCAGCGACUUAUAGAUCCUGUGUACACUCACGAACACAUUAGAUACUUAACCUAUAAGUCUUCAAACCACCAAAAUCACUAAGGGGCACUAGAUGCACUUACAAUCUCCCCCUUUUUGUGGUUGAUGACCAUUAGGUUAAGUCUUCAACGAGGAUAAAAAUAUGAAGUGUAAAUACUCAUUUGAGGAAUUUGAAAUCAAGAUUCAGAUAGACUCCCCGUGAAGAUGUGCAUAUCUUGAGGAUUUUGCUUUUCACAACAAAUGCACAUUGAUGAUUUAUAUCAUGGAGAUCUCCCCCUGAGUCUUGUAAAUCAUGCAUACAUACAACAUAUAGUAUGAAGAAAUUGAGGAUGCAUGAUGACUAAUGGUAUCUGACGAAUUCCAGCAUGCGUGCAUUAAAAUUUUGAGGAAUAAGCAUGCGAAGAAAAAUGUUCAAAAGCGUUAGAGUACCAUCGGGCUUAAGUUACAACUCAUUACAUAAAACACUUCAAAAGAGCCAAGAGUUUGUAACUUAAAUAAAGUUUAUAAGCCCCCAAAAUAUCCCGCGUGAAGACUAACUCUCAAAUUUCUCCCCCUUUGUCAUCAAGUGACAAAAAGGGACAAACUGAGGACUAACGCCCGUGAAGACUUUCACUUCUUGGAAAUUGAGGAAGACGCGUGAGGAUUCUUGGGAGAAGACUUCCUCCUUGGACUAGUGGCAGUAUCUUGUUGAUCUUCAUCUGAUUCAGCAGUGCGGAAUGAAGAAAACAAAAUGUCCUCAAGGUCUGGAACUGGGAUUGGCCUGAAUUUCUUCUUUGGUGGCCACGACCAGUUGAAGUCCUACACAAACUCCAAUUCUUCAAGUUCUGCUGGAGUCUUCAAAUGAGCCAGUGUGGCCCAGGUGCGAUCAAAAACCUCAUGAAGAUAAUGAUGGUUAAGCUUCACGACAUUCUAUGUUUCAUUGAGGGUUUUCACAAUGGCGUCGAACUAGCGUUUGAUCCACUUGUGAUUCUGAUCCACCUUUUGGUGAAGACUGAGAAGAAGCUCUCUGGUAUUCAUCACCUUGGAGCAACAGGACUAGUAGGAUGGGUUUCAAUGUCAUCCCAUGAGGAAUAUGCAUCUGGCUCACGGAACUGGCCAUCAAGGGGCCGACUGCCUUCAUCAAUGACGGACUUGCCUUUUCCUUCAACAGGUUCAAAAGUCUUCUUGUUGACCCGGAGAGGAGGCAUAUAACCUAUAUGAUUGUUGAAAUCAGUGUGAUAGUUGAUGCCUGACCUGCUUCUAAUGAAUCUCAUGAUCCAUGGAGCGUAAAUCUUCAGGUCAAAAGGGGACAUAGCAUUUUUCGCCAGAGUCCUCAAGAAGAAAUCAUGGAUGUUCAUGGGAAUGCCAUGGAUGAUGUUGAAGAGGAUAUUCUUCAUGAUGCCUACGACGUCUUCUUCAUCAUCAUGACCCUUGAUAGGCGCAAGAACACUGUAGAGGAUUCUAUAAACCGUCUUGGGUUCAUACUUCAGCUCAUGGACCAGGAAGGUUGUUCUUAGUGGUUGCCCCUUAGCCAAAGGCUUCAUGAGGACUUCCAUCAGCUUGUUUGCCAGCUCACGUUCAUCAUAAGCUUUACUGCCUGCUCUGAGGGAAUUGACACCGGAAGUUCACGCAGCAGCUCAUUGGCAGGAGCCUUGAAGUGUGUGUUCUGCGUCAUCCAAUCCAGCACCCAAGUGUUGAUGUCUGUUGGAUCUCCCGAGAUGUGCAAAGUGGCAUAGAAUUGAAGAACAAUGUCACUAUUCCAAUCGCAGAUAUCUGAGCACAUAGGUAGCGGUCCUGCUUCAUAAACAACAUUGAGGACUGGGUCAAAGCAAGGAAUUUCUUCAAGCUCAACGUGAGGAAUAUGCUUGUGCUAGAAAAUCUUGUUUCUUCCACACAACACAGAUGCAUAGUAGUUGAGUUGUGUCCUGGUCCAAAACUUCAGAUGCCUGAUGCGAGGCUUGUCAUAGGGAUUUUUUCCGAUGAAGUACAUGCGUUCUUCAAAGAAGGAUUCCUUUUGAAACUUUGGCCGCUUGGAAAACGGUUGGCGCUGCAUUGGCUGAAGAUUUUGCGGCUUCCUUGAGGAGAGACAAUCAUUGCAGUUUCUGGAUUGAGGACGACAAGAGCAUUCUCUGGAUCUGGUGCAUUGUCCUCAGCAUGUUCCUCAGGAUGAGGAAUUUCAUUUGCUUGUGCUUCAGGCUGAGGAGCAUGCUCUGGUUGAGGAAUGUCAUCAACGGGAGCUUCUGGGUGAGGAUUUCGCUCUGGAGGAGGAAUUGGUUCAUCCUGAGCCUCAGGUUGAGGAUUUUCCUCAGGAGGAGGAAUUGGGUCAUCCUGAGCCUUAGGUUGAGGAUUUUGCUCAGGAGGAGGAAUUGGGUCAUCCUGAGCCUCAGGUUGAGGAUUUUUCUCAGGAUUUUGAAUUUCAUCAGGCUGAGGAUUUUCACUUUGUUUUUCUUCAGCCUGAGGGGCUUGCUUGGUGGAGGAUCCAGAUUCAUCAGCUGGUGCAACUGAUCCUUGAGCAGUUUCUUCAGGAGGAAUGAUGGUCUGAGGACUAUCAUCAAUUCGAAUUUCCUCAUCAGUGUGUUCCUCAGACACAACAUUCUUCAUUUCCUCAUCAGCGUAUUCUUUGUCUUCAUUGUCGAAGGGAGUCAUCUCAUAAGAUGGAGCAACAUUGAGAGGCACAAGGUCCAGAGGUGCAUUUUCAUCAAGAGAUCUGAGGCGCUUGGCCUCAGUUGAUUCUUCUGCAGAGGAAGCUUUUCUCUUCUUGGCUUCCUUUUCAGCAGCUCUGGUCUUUUUCACGUCUGAUGCAGACAGAGUCAUUUUCUUCACCUUUGAAGCUUUUGGUGAAGGCAUUUUCUCAGUUGAAGCAGUUUCAUCAGCUGGAGCAGAGUCAUCACCUGGCUUAGAAGCAGCUGGAGCAGUUUCACCAGCUCUAGCACAGUCAUCAGCUGAAUUUUCCUUGAUAAUUUCCUCAAUAGCCGGUUCAUCAGCACGACUUUCUUGAGGGAUUUCCUCAGCAUGAGCAGUUUCAUCAGCUGGUUCCUCAAUCAGAGGCUAAGGUGUUGGUGCUGGAGGGGCACCCUUCUUGUUGUAAUCAUCAACUGUGUGAGUGGAAAAUUUGAUGAAAUUGUUUUUUGAGACUUUGACGAUCAGAGAGCUUAGUGUACUUGUCAGCCAAAGUCUUCAAUUCAGCCUGUGUGGAUACAAGUGCAUCAGGCGUCAAGUUGAGGAGAUUCUGUCUGAGGAAUUUCUCCUUGUUGAGCUUUGCAACCUUAGCUUGUUUAGCUUGCUACUCUUUCCACUUGGCCUCGUUGAUGAAAGUGGCCACCAUGUGGCUUAUGCCUGGGGGAAGCUUCAAAUCAUCAAUUGGAGUGUUGGGGUCCUCAUACCAGAUGUUGAUGUAAUCCAGGAGGACUUUUGGGUCCAUGGCCAGAGGAAUGGAGCUGCCUAAAGCUUGUGCUCCCCUCUCCUACUUGUUUCUGAUGAUGGCUUGCAGAGUCUCAUCAUCAAAUUCAUCACUACCUUCUGAUGCAGAAGGGACUUUGAUGAUUUUCCUAGGGCUUGGUCUGGUUCCUCUCCCAGUAGUCACCUUAGUAUUCAGGGGAGUCGGUGAAGACUUUAUCUCGGAGCUUGUUGCAGACAGGACUGGGGAGUUGGAGACACUAGGGAGUUGCUUCACUAUCUGCUUCUGUUCAUGCUUUGAAGCCUUUUGUGGUGCUGAGGGUUUUGGUGUUGAUGCUAGUGCAGCUUUCUAAGGCAUUUUAUCUUGAGGCUUUGAAGCCUUUAGUUUUGGUGGCACAAACUUCAUUUGAGGAAUGGCCGUACCAGAAGUCUCAGCUGCAUAGGAGGUGGCGGCAGUUGCAGCAGCAGCAGAUUCUUCAUUGAAUUUCCUCGCAGCGGCUUCUGCUUGCUUCUGAAGCUUUGACAAGUGUUUUGAGUUUUCUCCAGGAUAGUCAUCAAUUGUCUUCAGGCUUGAGGGGUAUGCAUCCUGAUAAUCCUCAAGAGGAGGCCGUUUGCCAGGAGGCUUCAGAGCGAAUUUGUUCGCAUACUUGGGAGUAACGAAUCUGUACUCUUUCCACUCCUUAGCCCAUCGGCGUUCUAUCUUUAGAAGCCUUAUCUUCCUCUUGGGCAUAGAUUCUUGCGCAUCAGGUGUGCAGUAUUCCAAGUAUAUAUCCUCACGGAUAUCUAUGGCAGUCUUCUGCUCGAGCUUCUUGCCACCCUAUUGCUUCCUUUCAUCUUCCAUUUUCUUCAGCUGAGGCUUUUGCUGAGGAAAUUGAACUCUUGAGGAUUCUGAUGAAACUUGCAGAUUUUCUUCAAGAAACGCUGCAAAUGACUUAAGUUGAUGAGAACCUAGAGAUUCAUUAGCUGACAUGUUUGUACCUGUGAACACAGUAUAGUUGCGAGGAAUUUGGAGAGGUCAUAUGCGUUCUCAGAUUUGAUGAAAUGAUUUUUUUUUAAAGUUGAGGAAUUUGGCCUGUGGUUGAGGAAUUCUUCUAAGCACACUAUUCUUGGGUUCCAGAGUUGUACAGAUUCGAAAAUUUGCACAAUUGAGGAAUCUCGUGAAAAUCUUAGAUGCUUAGUGAAGUUCAUCAAUAGUUGAGGAAUAAGCAGUGUUUGAGGAAAAAGAAACUGAUGGAUACUUGAGGAAAACAGAUUUCACAUCUCUAAGGUAAAAUAGUAGAUCAAAAGAGCUGUAAAAAUAGGGUUUUUAUUUACCCUAGAUAGCGCGCACGAAGAACGGAGAAGGAAGUAGUAGUAGAUGCUCUUCGGUGCGAGUCCAAUGCAACCUAACUUGGCAACAGAGGACAGCUAUGGCGGCGACGGACGAAGAUGGUCCGGUUCCGGCAUGGUUUCGGCGACGGAGAGGUCGAGGCAGCCAAGCUUUUCCUCGCCGGCGUCGAGACUUCUAGCGGUGGUGCUAGGGAUUUUGAGCUUUGCUGUAGUAGGAGGGCGAUGGGACGAAGAAGAUUUUAUCGAAGGGAGAUGGGGACAUAUUUAUAGACAGGUGGUAACUGUUGGAGCGAAAGUAUCGGACCAAAUAGCCCCUGUCUCUACGUCUCCGCAGGACACGUGUAGCCCACGACCGAAGCAGUGGAGAUCGUAGUUAUCCGAACAGGGAAAGUCGGGUUCAGUUACUGUGUAACAAACAAAAAAAUAUUUUUGAAGAUUUGAGGAUUUUGUUACAAAAUCAUCAGCUGACAAGAACGGAGUGAGGAUUUUGAACAAAGUUUCAAGUAGAACGCAUAUGAAGAAUUGAAUAGACUGGGUGAGAGUAGCAUAGAGGGAAAGUAGGGUCCGAUCACAUUCACUUAGAGGAAAUACCAAAUUGAAGAAUAUAGCUAUAAGUGAAUGCUGUUGAGGACUUUGAAAUCACAAUCUAUCUAGUUAAACGAAAAUCAUCAAGUGUUUUUGAAGAUUUUGAUUAACUUGAGGAUUUUGUGACAAAGCGUCAUGAUGAUGAAUUUCAGUUUUGAACAAAAACAAGUUUGAAAAACAACUGUUUUGAAGAAAAUCAACUUUUGAAGAAAUUCAGCUUUGAAGAAAUUCAACUUGAGGAAUUUCAAGUUGGGUGGUGGCGUGACCCACCAUAUAAGAAUGUUGAUUUCAGACGCCGCGUACAAUUGACGUAAGGCCCUCAGAAUCAAUUUCUUCGUUGAUUUCCUCACACUCAGAGUGAUAUUCUUCAUUGGUUGAAGAAAAUCGAUUCUUCGUGUGUUGCACAUCUAAGUCAUCAAUUUUGCAUAAGUGUUAGGAUGUGUGCAUAUUUUACAAAACAUUUGAAGAUUCUAAGAUAUUUAGCUCACACCGCAACUUGCAAAACCUUUUCUCAUCCAAGGGCUUAGUGAAGGUAUCUGGCAGUUGAUCGUCAGUCUUCACAUGGUCGAUGAGGAUAUUGCCCUUGAGAACAUGGUCCCGAAGAAAAUGAUGACGAACCUGGAUGUGCUUGGUCUUCGAGUGAUGUACUAGGUUGUAUGCAAUCUUGAUUGCACUCUCAUUGUCGCAGUAGAGAGGCACAUUUUUCAUGUUGAUGCCAUAAUCCUUGAGGGUUUGCUUCAUCCAUAGCAAUUGAGCACAGCAUGAACUAGCAGCGAUGUACUCAACUUCGGCAGUGGAAAGUGAAACGCAGUUCUGCUUCUUUGAGGACUAGCACACUAGUGAUCUUCCGAGGAAAUGUCAUGUGCCAGAGGUUGACUUGCGAUCCACACGGUCACCAGCAUAGUCAAAAUCAGAAUAUCCCACAAGAUGAAGAUUUGAGCCCUUGGGGUACCAUAAUCCUAGUGUUGGUGUGUGAGCUAAGUAUCGAAGAAUCUUCACAACCUUAUGGUGUGAUUCCUUCGGUUUUGCUUGAAAACAUGCACACAUGCAAACAUUAAGCAUUAUAUGUGGCCUAGAUGCACAUAAAUACAGUAAAUAGCCAAUCAUAGAGCGAUAUACCCGCUGAUCGAACUCUUUACCAUUUUCGUCAGUGCAGAGGUGGCCGUUGGUAGGCAUUGAGUCUUGGCACCUUUGCAUUCAUGCAUGUCGAAUUUCCUCGGAACAUCUGAAAGUGCGUUAUAUCGACUAGAGGGAGGGUGAAUAGGAGAUUUUUAGAAUUUCAUCGCUGAGGAAAUUCCUUUUGAGGAAAUUCCUCACUCAUGACUAACUUACAGCGGAAACAGUUACGGAUCAGGCGUGCAAACUUUCACAAUAGCAGUAUUACACAGUGAAGAAUGUGAAAAACAGAUUGCACAGUAAGCAGGCACGCAUAAUACAGAUGAUGAUUAACUUAAGUGAAGAAUUUGGGGUUGAGGAAAUUCAGAGAAAGUCUUCAGCAAAUUCUUCAAACAGUCACAGUGAAAGUCAUCAACACAUAAUACAAAGAGAGUAAAGAGUUGAGGAAUUAGAACCCGAUUCUUGGUGAAGACUGUUGUUGAUGACCCAGUUCCAACUGCUGUGACAGUUGUACAUCUAGCUUGGAGCGGCUUGGUAUUGAAACCAAAGGACACCCAGUCCCGGCACACACAGUCCCUACUGUAUUAUCCUUGAGCUAAGGACACACAGUCCUCGCCCAACACUCGUGGUAAGUCUUCAGGGCAGACUUCCAAACCCUCACAAACUCGGUCACCCGGUGAUCCACAAUUGACUGUUGGAUUGCUCUAGACCAUGACGUCUAACCGUCUGGAGGAUGCACAGUCCUCAAAGGUAAAAGGCUUCAGUCCCACACAGGAACAACUUCUUCAGUGAUGCUCAAUCACUAGGUUUGGUUUGUGGUUUCGGUGGGUGGUGUAUUUCCUCACUGAUGAUUUACUCUCGAAGGUUCUGAGGAAUUUGGGUUGCUCUUAUGACAAGUGUCAGUUUCUAACGGAGCAGCCAACCAGCUAGUGGUUAUGGGGGCUGGCUAUUUAUAGCCUGAGAGCAUCCCGACAUGAUUUGACACUAAUGCCCUUAACUAAUAUGACCGUUGGAGUGGAUAAGACCAAUGACUUGGCGUGGUUAUCGAAACGGUCGGGACCCUCAACUGUGAGAGUCCUCAUGUCACUCAUAUUCCUCACUUGAGGCUUUUGGUAGGAUUAGGCUUGGGUUGAGCAUCAUGAGGAAAUCCAUUCCAUAGUGUUACUUUGACCCCCUUUAACACUACGGUGUUCCUAUUCAUCAAAUGCGAAGAAAGUAAAACAGAAAACGAAAAUCUUCACGCUUCAAUUUCUUCAGAACGAUUUUCUUCAGGAACCACCGAUCUUCUUAAUAUCAAUAUCUUCAUGAGGAAUAUCAAUUUCAUCGCAGAUUCCUCGCGAUUCAUUUCUUCAGCUUCAGAGCAAAUUCUUCAACUGAAGACAUAUAUUUUUAGGGGUCGAUAUUCUUCAAAUAUCUCAAACUCCUCAAUGACUUAUAGAUCAUGUGUACACUUAUAAACACAUUAGAUACUUAACCUAUAAGUCUUCAAACCACCAAAAUCACUAAGGGGCACUAGAUGCACUUACAAUCUCCCCCUUUUUGGUGGUUGAUGACAAUUAGGUUAAGUCUUCAACAGGGAUAAAAAAAUAUGAAGUGUAAAUACUCAUUUGAGGAAUUUGAAGACAAGAUUCACACGGACUCCCCCUGAAGAUGUGCAUACCUUGAGGAUUCUGCUUUUAUAGCAGAUACACAUUGAUGAUUUAUAUCAUGGAGAUCUCCCCCUGAAUCUUGUAAAUCAUGCAUACAUAUAACAUAUUAUAUGAAGAAAAUGAAGAUGCAUGAUAGCAAAUGGUAUCUGACGAAUUCCAGCAUGCAUGCAUUAAAACUUGAGGAAUAAGCAUGCGAAGAAAAACGUUCAAAAGCGUCAGAGUACCAUCGGGCUUAAGUUACAACUCAUUACAUAAAAACUUCCGAAGAGCCAAGAGUUUGUAACUUAAAUAUAGUUCAUAGGCCCCAAAAAUAUCCCGCUUGAAGACUAACUCUCGAGUUUCUCCCCCUUUGUCAUCCAGUGACAAAAAGGGACAAACUGAGGACUAACGCCCGCGAAGACUCCAUUUCUUGGCGGUUGAUGAAGAUCCUUGACGCUUCUUGGGUGUAGUCUUCUUCCUUGGGCCGGUUGCUGUGUCGAGUUGUUCCUCAUCAGAUUCGGCGGUGCGGAAUGAAGAGAAGGAGUUGUCUUCAAGAUAUGGCACUGGAAUGGGCCUGAACUUCUUCUUGGGAGGCCACGACCAGUCAAAGUCCUGCUCAAAGUUCAUUUCUUCAAGCUCAGUGUGGGUCUUCAGAUGUGCAAGGGUAGCCCAGGUGCGAUCAAAAACCUCAUGCAGAUAGUGAUGAUUAAUCUUCAUAGAGUUCUGGGUUUCAGUGAGGGUUUCCAAAAUGGCACCAAACUGGCGUUUGACCCAUUUGUGAUUGUGAUCCACCUUCUGAUGAAGACUGAGGAGAAGCUCUCUGGUGGUUAGCACUCGAGGAGGAACAGGGCUUGGUGGACGAGUCUCAGUAUCGUCCCAUGAAGAAUAUGCGUCUGGCUCUUUGAACUCACCAUCAAGGGGCCUGCUGCCUUCGUCAAUCACAGACUUUCCUUUUCCCUAAAUGGGCUUGAAAGUCUUCUUGUUGACCCGGAUAGGAGGCACAUAACCAACAUGGUUUUGGAAAUCAGCGUGGAAGUUGAUGCCUGUCCUUGUCCUGAUGAAUCUCAUGAUCCAUGGGGCAUAAAUUUUGUGAUCAAAGGGGCACAUGGCAUUGUCGGCCAAAGUCCUCAAGAAGAUAUCACGGAUAUUCAUAGGAAUACCGUGAAUGAUGUUGAAGAGGAUAUUCUUCAUUAGGCCGACAACAUCUUCUUCAUCGUCAUGGCCUUUGAUUGGCGCGAGCACACUGCAGAGAAUGCAGUAGACAGACCGGGGUGUGUACUUGAGCUCAUGGACGAGGAAUGUGGUUCUUGAGGGUUUUCCUGCAGCCAAAGGCUUCAUGAGGACUUCCAUCAUUCCAUUUGGCAGCUCACGCUCACCAUAAAGCUUCACUGCCCCAUCUGAAGGAAUUGGUACGGGCAGUUCUCUAAAAAGUUUAGAAGCAGGAGCCUUGUAGUGAGUGUUUUGGGUCAUCCAAUCAAACACCCAAGUGUUGAUGUCAACAGCAUUUCCAGAGAUGUGCAGAGUUGCAUAGAACUGAAGAAUGAGCUCAUUGUUCCAGUCUGAUAUGUCGGAGCACAUAGGAAGCAAACCUGCAUCGUGGAGUACACUGAGGACUGGUUCCAUGCAAGGUAUUGCUUCAAGCUCAACAUGAGGAAUGUGGCAGUGCUGGAAUAUCUUGUUGCGUCCACAGAGCACACAGGUGUUGUAGUUUAUCUGAGUCCUUGUCCAAUACUUCAGAUGCCUCAUUUGAGGCUUGUCAUAUGGGUUCUCUCCGAUGAAAUACAUGCGUUCCUCAAAGAAAUUUUCUUUCUGAAACUUUGGACGCUUGGAGAAGGGCUGGCGCUGAACUGGCUUGAUAUUGUGCUGAGGAAUGGGAGGGGAAACAACCAGGGCAGUCUCUGGGUUGAGUACAAUGAAGUCAUUGUCAGGGGCGGGAACAUUUUCUUCAGCAGUUUCCUCAGGUUGAGGAAUUUCAUCAGCUGGUACUUCUUGCUCUGGCUGAGCUUCAGGCUGAGGAAUUUCUGCUUCUUUCUCGGCAUGAGGAGUUUGGUCAGCCUGUUCAGAAUGUGCAUUUUCCUCAGCUUGUUUUUCUUCAGCUGGCGUUGUGGCAGAAGCAGAUUCAUCAGCUGCUGCAGCUGAAGCUUGAGCAGUUUCUGUCUGAGGAACAAGAGGUUUAGGACUGUUAUCAAUCUGGAUCUCCUCAUCAGUAUGUUCCCCGGAGGCAACAUCCUUCAUUUCCUCAUCUGCCCUUGUAGUUGGGGCACCAAUGACGACCAUUUCAUAUGAAGGUGCAACAUUUAGAGGCACCGGAUCCAGAGGGGCAGAUUCUUAAGUUUCUUUGAGGCGCUUUGCCUCUAUCUUUUCUUCUGCUGAGGAAGCUUUUCUCUUCUUUGCUUCCUUCUCAGCAGCUCUUGUCUUCUUCGCGUCUGAUGCAGACGGGAUUAACUUCUUCACCUUUGAAGCUUUUGGUGAAGGUGUUCUUUCUGCAGAUUCUUCAGUUGGUAGUGAGGAACCAGCUGGAACAGAGUCAUCAGCCUGCUUUGAUGAAGCAGCUGGAUCAGGAGCAGUUUCUUCAGUGGUUGCAAUUUCAUCAGUUGCAGUCUCGGUGAUGAUUUCUUCAAUGGCCGGUUCAUCAGCACGGCGCUCCUGGUGUUCUUCCUCAGCUUGAGGAGUUUCCUCCUCAUCAAGAGAUGUAUCUGCUGGCUGCUCAACCAAGGGCUGAGGAGUUGGUGCUGGGGUUGGGUGUCGUUUGUUGUAGUCAUCAACAACACUAGUGGCUAGCUUGAUGAAAUUGCGUUUGAUGCUUUUGCGGUCUGACAGUUUGUCACACUUGUCAGUCAAGACUUGCAGCUCUGCCUGGGUUGACACCAGUGCUUCAGGAGUCAGCUUGAGGAGAUUUUGCCUGAGGAAUUUCUCCUUUUUGGCCUUUGCAAUCUUUGCCUGAUUGGCCUUCUGUUCCUUCCACUUGGCUUCGUUUAUGAAGGUGGCCACCAUGUGGCUGAUGCUAGGAGGAAGUUUCAAAUCAUCAAUGGGUGUGUUUGGGUCCUCAUACCAUACAUUGAUGUAGUCGAGAAGGACCUUGGGGUCCAUGGCCAGAGGAAUAGCACUGCCUGAUGCUUGUGCUACCCGUUCUUGCUUGUUUCUGAUGAUGGCUUGCAGGGUUUCAUCAUCAUACUCAUCACUUCCCUCUGAUGCAGACGGGACUGCGAUGAUUUUGCUGGGGCUGGGCAGAGGUGCACGUUCAGUAGUUGCCAAAGUCUUCACAAGUGGUGUUGAAGACUUUGUCUCCGAGCUUGUUGCAGCUGGGAGUGAGGAGCUGGAGCUGGCGGUCAUAGGCUUCACGACAUUUUUCUGUACCGGUUUUUCUUGAGACUUUGGAGGUGGAGCUGAGGAUUUUGGUGCACAGGAGAUUGGUGCUGAGGGUUUUGGCGCUGAUGGUUUUGGUGUUGAAGGUUUUGGAACCAUGGGUUUUAGAGCUGAGGGUUUUGUGACAGAGGGUUUUGUAGCUGAGGUUUUGUGACACAAGCCUGUGCAGACUUCUCUUGAGGCUUUGGAGCCUUUGGCUUUGUUGGCACAGACUGCGAGUGAGGAAUCUCUGAGCCUGAAGUUUCUGCCGCUGAGGAAUUUGCAGCACCAGAGGCAGCAGCUGAGGAUUCAUUAAAUUUCUUCACUGCAGCUUCAGCUUGCUUCUUGAGCUUGGCCAGAUGCCUUUCUUUCUCAUCUGGGUAGUCAUCAAUUGUCAUAAGACUUGAGGGAUGUGCUACUUGAUGAUCCUCAAGUGGGGCCCUUCUGCCAGGAGGCUUCAAAGCGAAUUUCUUCGCAUAUUUUGGAGUCACAAACCUGUACUCCUUCCAUUCCUUCGCCCAUCUGCGUUCAAUCUUCUGCAGCCUAAUCUUUCUCUUGGCCAUUGUCUCAGGUUCUUCAUCAGGCGUACAAUAGUCCAAGUAUAUGUCCUCAGGAAUAUCAGCAGCUGUGUUCUGCUCUAGUUUCUUUCCUCCCUUCUGUUUCCUUUCUUCCUCCAUUUUCUUCAGACGAGGAAUUUGCUGAUGAUUUUGAACUCUUGAGGAUUCUGAUGAGCCUUGAAGAGUUUCUUCCAGAAAUGCUGCAAAUGAGUUAAUGUGAUGAGAACCGAGAGAUUCACGAGCUGACAUGUGUGUACCUAUGAACAGAGUAUAGUUGCGAGGAAUUUGGAGAGGUCAUAUGCGUUCUCAGAUUUGAAGAAAAUGAAAAAGUUUGACAGUUUGAGGAAUAUAACCAGUGGUUGAGGAAUUUGCCUAAGCAUACUGUUCUUGGGUUUCAGAGUUGUACAGAUCCGAAAAUUUGCACAAUUGAGGAAUCUCGUGAAAAUCUUAGAUGCUUAGCUAGUUCAUCAAUGAUUGUGGUGAUAGAUAGUGUUUGAGGAAUCACGUGCACAUCGUAUCUUGAGGAAAACAGAUUUCUCAUAGAAGGGGUAAAUUUCAGAUCUAAUCUCCUGUAAAAAUGGGAUAUAUUUACCCUGGAAGGUGCGAACGAAGAACACAGAAAGUAGUGUUGGAGAGGCUCUUCGGUCGAGUGUCCAAUGCACCCUAACUUGGUGGCAGAGGACGUCUACGGCGGCGACGGACGUACAUGUCCCGACUCCGGCGUGAUCCUGGCAACGAAAAGGUCAAGGCAGGUAAGCUCUUCCUUACCGGCGACAAGACUACCAGCGGUGGCGCUAGGGUUCGGUGGAGAGUGCGAUGGCAGGAGAGCGAUGAUGCGAAGAAGAGGAUACCGAGGGGGAUAAGGACCUGUUUAUAGCCUGAAAGUUACUGUUUGGCGCGAAAGUUUUGGACCAAAUAGCCCCUGCCCCUACGUCUCCGCAGGACACGUGUAAUUCCCGUACGAUGCGGUGGAGAUAGUGGAGAUCGUGGUUAUCCAAUCGUGGGAAGUGGGGGUUCAGUUACUGUGCCUUUAAAGAAAACAAUUUUUGAAGUUUUGAGGCUUUUCAUUACAAAAUCAUCAGCUGACAAGGAUGCAGUGAGGAUUUUGAACAAAGUUUCAAAUAGAACGCAUAUGAAGAAUUGAAUAGACUGGAUAAGUACAGCAUUGAGGGAAAGUAGGGUCCNNNNNNNNNNNNNNNNNNNNNNNNNNNNNNNNNNNNNNNNNNNNNNNNNNNNNNNNNNNNNNNNNNNNNNNNNNNNNNNNNNNNNNNNNNNNNNNNNNNNCGUUCCAAAAUCAGAUCUGAAAAGAGUCAAAAACACGGAAAAAACAGGAACCGGCACUUGGCACUGAAUUAAUAAGUUAGUCCCAAAAAGAUAUAAAAGGUACAUAAAACAAUCAAAGAAGACAAGAUAACAGCGUGAAACCAUAAAAAAUUACAAAUACGUUUGAGACGUAUCAGUCAUCAGUGAGGAAUUUCCUUAGUGAUGAAAUUCUAAAAGCUCCUAUUCACCCCCCCUAGUCGAUAUAACGCACUUUCAUAUUGGAUGAAAUCUCUGUCAUGAAUUUGUUCCGGCUUGUGUUGUAAGCCUCAUCCUUUGGUUUGCUGGAAUAUGGUCAUUCGAGUUGCUUUCGAUGUCAAGUGGUGAAUUCAUUUUGUCUGAGGGAAUUGACACCGGAAGUUUCACGCAGCAGCUCAUUGGCAGGAGCCUUGAAGUGUGUGUUCUGCGUCAUCCAAUCCAGCACCCAAGUGUUGAUGUCUGUUGGAUCUCCCGAGAUGUGCAAAGUGGCAUAGAAUUGAAGAACAAUGUCACUAUUCCAAUCGCAGAUAUCUGAGCACAUAGGUAGCGGUCCUGCUUCAUAAACAACAUUGAGGACUGGGUCAAAAGCAAGGAAUUUCUUCAAGCUCAACGUGAGGAAUAUGCUUGUGCUAGAAAAAUCUUGUUUCUUCCACACAACACAGAUGCAUAGUAGUUGAGUUGUGUCCUGGUCCAAAACUUCAGAUGCCUGAUGCGAGGCUUGUCAUAGGGAUUUUUCCGAUGAAGUACAUGCGUUCUUCAAAGAAGGAUUCCUUUUGAAACUUUUGGCCGUACGUUUAGGGGAAAAAAACCGGGUUUUGGGGACCCGGUACCCGUUUGGGGUACCCUAAAGUUUUUUACGGGGGGCCCNNNNNNNNNNNNNNNNNNNNNNNNNNNNNNNNNNNNNNNNNNNNNNNNNNNNNNNNNNNNNNNNNNNNNNNNNNNNNNNNNNNNNNNNNNNNNNNNNNNNUGUGUGGGACUGAAGCCUUUUACCUUUGAGGACUGUGCAUCCUCCAGACGGUUAGGCGUCAUGGUCUAGAGCAAUCCAGCAGUCAAUUGUGGAUCGCCGGAUGACCGAGUUUGUGAGGGUUUGGAAGUCUGCCCUGAAGACUUACCACGAGUGUUGGGCGAGGACUGUGUGUCCUUAGCUCAAGGAGAAUACGGUAGGGACUGUGUGUCCCGGGACUGGGUGUCCUUUGGUUUCAAUACCAAGCUUCUCCAAGCCAGAUGUACAACUGUCACAACAGUUGGAACUGGGUCAUCAACAACAGUCUUCACCAAGAAUCGGGUUCUAAUUCCUCAACUCUUUACUGUCUUUGUAUUAUGUGUUGAUGACUUCCACUGUGACUGUUUGAAGAAUUUGCUGAAGACUUUCUCUGAAUUUCCUCAACCCCAAAUUCUUCACUUAAGUUARUCAUSAUSUGUAUUCUGCGUGCCUGCUUACUAUGCAAUCUGUUUUUUCACAUUCUUCACUCUGUAAUACUGCUAUUGUGAAAGUUUGCACGUCUGAUCCGUAACUGUUUCCGCUGUAAGUUAGUCAUCAGUGAGGAAUUUCCUCAAAGGAAUUUCCUCAGCGAUGAAAUUCUAAAAAUCUUCUAUGNNNNNNNNNNNNNNNNNNNNNNNNNNNNNNNNNNNNNNNNNNNNNNNNNNNNNNNNNNNNNNNNNNNNNNNNNNNNNNNNNNNNNNNNNNNNNNNNNNNNGGAGAGGAUCACAUUCACUUAGCAGAAACAUCAACUUGAAGAAAUAGCAAUAAGUGAAUGUUGUUGAGGACUAGAAAUCACAGUCUACCUAGGCAAAUGAAAGUCAUCAAGUGUUUUUAAAGAUUUUGUAAUAGAUCAUCACAAUGAAGAACAACUGUUUUGAAGAAAAAUGCAUUGUGAAGAAAUUGAUCAUUUGAAGAAAAUCAACUUGAGGAAUCUCACAUUGGGCGGUGGCGUUACCCACCAUAUAAGAAUGUUGAUUACAGGCGCCGCGUACAAUUGUCGUAGGGCCCUGAGAAUCAAUUUCUUCAUUAAUUUCUUCACAUUUAGAGUUACUUUCUUCAUCAGUUGAAGAAAAUCGUUUCAUCAUGUGUUGCACAUCUAAGUCAUCAACUUUGCAUAAGCGUUAGGAUGUGUGCAUGUUUUUACAAAACAUUUGAAGAUUCUAAGAUAUUUAGCUCACACCGCAACUUGCAAAACCUUUUCUCAUCCAAGGGCUUAGUGAAGAUAUCUGCCAGUUGAUCAUCAGUCUUCACAUGGUCGAUGAGGAUAUUGCCCUUGAGGACAUGGUCCCGAAGAAAAUGAUGACGAAUCUGGAUGUGCUUGGUCUUCGAGUGAUGUACUAGAUUAUAUGCAAUCUUGAUAGCACUCUCAUUGUCACAGUAGAGAGGUACAUUCUUCAUGUUGAUGCUGUAAUCCUUGAGGGUUUGCUUCAUCCAUAGCAAUUGAGCACAGCAAGAACCAGCAGCAAUGUACUCAGCUUCGGCAGUGGAGAGUGAUACGCAGUUCUGCUUCUUUGAGGACCAGCAAACUAGUGAUCUUCCGAGGAAAUGGCAUGUGCCAGAUGUUGACUUGCGAUCCACACGGUCACCAGCAUAGUCUCAAUCAGAAUACCCUACCAGAUGAAGAUUGGAGCCCUUGGGAUACCAUAAUCCUAGUGUUGGUGUGUGAGCUAAGUAUCGAAGAAUAUGUUUCACAGCCUUAUGGUGUGAUUCCUUCGGUUUUGCUUGAAAACGUGCACACAUGCAAACACUAAGCAUUAUAUCUGGCCUAGAUGCACAUAGAUCCAAUAAAGAGCCAAUCAUAGAACGGUAUACCUGCUGAUCGAAAUCUUUACCAUUUUCAUCAGUGCCGAGGUGGCCGUUGGUAGGCAUCGGAGUCUUGGCACCUUUGCAUUCGUGCAUGUCGAAUUUCCUCAGAACAUCCUUGAGGUAUUUCUCCUGUGAUAUGAAGAUUCCAUUGCUUUGUUGACGAAUUUGAAGACCUAAGAAGAAUUUCAGCUCCCCCAUCAUGGACAUCUGAUAUUCUUCACUCAUCAUGUAGGCAAAUUCAUCACUGUAUCUUUUGUCAGUACAGCCAAAUAUGAUAUCAUCAACAUAUAUUUGACAUACAAACAACUCAUUAUCAUAAGAUUUUGUGAAAAGAGUUGGAUCGAGUGAACCAGGUUUGAAGCCUUUCUUCAUGAGGAAUUCCUUCAAUGUGUCAUACCAUGCCCGAGGGGCUUGCUUGAGGCCAUACUAAGCCUUUUUGAGUCUGAAGACUUUGUCUGGAUUCUUUGGAUCCUCAAAACCUGGGGGCUGAGCAACAUAUACUUCUUCCUCAAGCUUACCAUUGAGGAAUGCACUUUUCACAUCCAUUUGAUAUAAGGUGAUGUUAUGAUGAUUAGCAUAAGCAAGUAGUAUUCGAAUAGCUUCAAGUCUAGCAACAGGUGCAAAAGUUUCAUCGAAAUCUAUUCCUUCAACCUGGGUGUGGCCUUGGGCUACUAGUCGUGCCUUGUUCCUCACCACUUGACCGUCCUCAUCUUGCUUGUUUCGGAAAAGCCACUUGGUGCCGAUAAUGUUAUGCUUGCGAGGAUCUGGUCGUUUGACGAGCUCCCAUACGUCAUUCAGCUUGAAUUGAAGAAGUUCGUCUUGCAUGGCUUGGAUCCACUCCGGUUCCAGAAAAGCCUCAGCUACUUUUGAGGGUUCUGUGAUGGACACAAAGGAAAAAUGCCCACAAAAGUUAACUAAGUGUGAAGCUUUUGAGCACGUGAGAGGACCUGGCGCGUUGAUGUCGUUGAGGAUUUUGUCAAGUUCAACUUCGUUUGCAAUCCUCGGAUGAGCUGGUUGAGGAUUUUGUCUGGGCUGAGGAAGUGGUGCUGUUGCAAUUUCCUGAGGAGCAUCUUCUUGGUUUUUAUCAGCGAUGGGGAUUGUUUCUUCACCAAUUUCCUCAGUGGGGACAAUGUCUUCAGUAGGCUUAAGCUUUAUUGCUUCCUCAGGAGACAGCUUAUCUGGAUCAGAAGGCAAUUGCUCUCUUUGCGAGCCAUUAGUUUCAUCGAACCGCACAUCUACAGUUUCAACAACUUUGUUGUGAUAGUUGUUGAAGACUCUGUAGGUGUGCGAGUCCUUUCCAUAACCGAGCAUAAAACUUCAUGUGCCUUAGGUGCAAAUUUUGAGCUAUGAUGAGGAUCUCUAAUCCAGCAUUUUGCACCGAAGACUUUGAAAUAACUUACAUUGGGUUUCUUGUCAGUGAUGAUUCAUAUGAGGUUUUCUUGAGGAAUUUGUGAAGAUAUACCCUGUUGAUGAUAUGGCAUGGAGUGUUGAUUGCUUCAGACUAGAAGCGACGAGGAGUCUGAUAUUCUUCAAGCAUAGUUCUUGCCAUUUCAACCAGAGUCCUGUUCUUUCUUUCGACGACACCAUUCUGCUGAGGAGUAUAAGGAGCAGACAAUUCGUGAGUAAUACCAAGUUCAUCAAGAUAAUCAUCAAGACCAGUGUUUUUGAACUCGGUUCCAUUAUCACUCCUGAUAUGUUUGAUCUUGAUGCCGAAGUUCGUCGAGGCCCUUGAAGAAAAUCGUUUGAAGAUUUCCUGCACUUCAGUUUUAUACACUAUAAUAUGCACCCAAGUGUAUCUGGAAUAAUCAUCAACUAUGACAAAGCCAUAUAGGGAUGCUGCAUUGGUUAGUGUGGCAUAGUGAGUAGGUCCAAAUAAAUCCAUAUGAAGCAAUUCAAAUGGACGUGUAGUGGUCAUUAUGGUUUUGGAGGGAUGCUUGGAUUUGGUCAUUUUCCCAGAUUCACAAGCACCGCAGAGAUGAUCCUUGAAGAAUUUGACUGAUUCAAUGCCAAUGACAUGCUUCUUCUUUGCAAGCGUGUGCAAAUUCCUCAUGCCUGCAUGACCUAGUCUUCGGUGCCACAACCAUCCUUCUGAGGUUUUUGCUAGUAAGCAAGUGGCUGGUUGAGGACCUGUAGAGAAAUCAACAAUGUACAAAUCCCCUCUUCUUACACCUUCGAAGACUUUGGAUCUGUCAGAUUCCAUGAUGACUACACAUCUAUAUCUACCAAAGAUAACAAUCAUAUCAAGAUCACAAAGCAUCGAGACUGACAUGAGGUUAAAACCAAGGGAUUCAACAAGCAUCACUUUGUCCAUAUGCCUAUCCUUGGAAAUAGCUACUUUGCCAAGUCCCAAUACCUUGCUUUUACCUUUGUCAGCAUAUGUGAUUUUCUUCAGAGGUGAUGGAGUUAGUGGCAUAUUCAACAGUAGGCUUUUAUCACCAGUCAUGUGAUGUGUGCAGCCACUGUCGAGAACCCACUCAGUAUUUUUGGGUUGGUCAUCCUGCAGAUGAAUUAGUACAGCUUACCAUCUCAUAUGCUUCAAAUUUGAAGAAUAUGAUACUAAUUUCAUCAGUUCAGUGAUUUCAUCAUAACAGAUAUGUAAGGACGUGUGAAAUAUUUCUAUUUCAUCAAUCAUUAGCUUGCGUCCUAUCAAGCGUUUCUCAGGUCUCCAGCAAAUUCUUCGGAUGAUGAUUUUCAUCUGGAGACCUGGGCUGCAGAGAUGAUUAGUUUGAUUUCUUCACCACCCACAUCUGAAGGGGUGGUAAAGCGUUCAUCAUCCUACGAGCACCAUAUGACAAAGGUGGCAUUGAAGCUAAUGCACUUCUCUUAACAGUAGGGGGAUUAAAGUACUCAUAUGAAUAUGCAGAGAACUGGUUUGAGGAUUUAUGAACAUAAUGAUUUGAGGAGUAACGCUCAUAUUCAUAUUCCUUGUGGUUUCCCUGCAUGUUAGACGCAUAAGCACGGGUACGAGCAUAGUUUUGACCAGUUGAGGAUUUGAUCCUCUUGAAGACUUUGGUCCUCCUGAGGAAUUUGAUCUGGGGUUCAGAUUCUUCAGUGGUGGUGUCAUGAGGACAUUCACCUGAAGAUUUUCAAGACAACUUUUGGGAACCCAGAUUUUCCUCAGAGGAGGCCCAUUCCUGCAGUUAGUUCCAACAUAUCGAGCAAAUACUUCACCAGAUUGAUUUUUGAACAGUUUAUAGUUGGAAUCAAAUGACUCAUCCGAGGAAUAGGAUAAUUCACAUGAGAAGCCAGUUAGAUUAGAUGAAUCGAAAGGAGGCCCAGUAGCAGCAACCCAUGAUGUUUUGGGAUACUGCUCGGGUUUCCAAUAAGAUCCAUCAGCAUUUAAUUUCCUCUCAAAGGCAAUUCCUUCUUUCCUCGGGUUCCUGUUCAAAAUCUGCUUUUUGAGCACAUCACAAAGGGUUUGAUGUCCUUUGAGGCUUUUGUACAUGCCAGUCACGUACAAUUCCUUCAACCCUGCAUUUUCAUCAGUAACAUUUGUGUUUUCCUCAAGUGAGGAAAUAGACACAACAGGUGCAGUUGAAGAAUUUGUAGCAAUUGAUGAUUCUGGUGAGGAAUUAGCAGUUUCACGUUCAAUGCAUUUAAGACAUGGAGCAAUAAAUUCAACUUGACUAGCGCUAAUCUGUUGAGCUUGUAAUGAAUUAUUUUCCAUACGAAAAUCAUCAUGAGACAUCCUCAGCUUCUCAAGAUCAAGCUUCCUUUGAAGAAAUUCGUAGGAAAGCUUCUCAUGAUCACUAAGGAGUGUAUCAUGACGAUCCUGAAGAUUAUCAAAUCUAGACUGAAGAUUUUUCAUGUCAUCAGCGAGGAUUUGAUUAAGAUUCAUUUCAUCAUUCAACAGAUCAUCACUUUUGUCUAGCAGUUUUUGAAGCUUUUCCAGAGCAGAUUGUUGUUUAGUGGCAAUUAUAGCAAGUUUACUGUAACUGGGUUUCUUAUAAUCAUUAUGUUCACAGUCACUUGAAUCAGAGGUGGAGGCAUUAUUUGAUACCUUUGAACCUUUUGCCAUGAAGCAAUAGGUUGGAGCGAUGUCAUCAGCAUAGUCAUCAGUAUGGAUGGUGCACUCAUUUUCUUCAAGAUUGAAGAUUGACUUGCUCACGAAAGUGGUAGCUAGUGCAAGACUAGCCUGUCCGGAUUCUGAGUCUUCUCCAAAGCCUUCUUCUUCAUCACAUUCCUCUGAUUCUGCCUCGGAAUCCAUUUCCUUGCCAAUAAGUGGCCGAGCCUUUCUGAAGCUAGUCUUCUUGUGUGAAGAGGACUUUGAAGAUGAGGAUUUUGAAGAUUUCUUCUUCUUCUUCGAGUCAUCAGAACUGUCAUCCUUGUAUUUCUUCUUCUUUGAUUCCUUUCCCCAGCGGAGACAAUCAACAAUGUAAUGACCUGAUUUCUUGCACUUGUGACAGGUCCGUUUCUUGUAGUCCUCAGAUGCAGAUUCUGAUUUCCUCAUGUCUCUUCUUGAUGAUUUACCAAACUGGCCUUGUCGUGUAAAUCUCUGGAAUUUCCUCACAAGCAUUGCAAGCUCCUGCCAAAUUCUUUAGGGUCACAACUCCUUUCAUCUGUGUCUUCUUCUUCAGAUGAGGAAAUUGCUCUAGCCUUCAGUGCACGUGGUCUGGAAUAGCUUUGUCCAUAUAGAUCUCUCUUUUCUUCUAGCUGGAAUUCAUGAGUAUUUAGCCUUUCAAGGAUAUCAGCUGGAUCUAGCAUCUUGUAGUCUGGUCUUUCUUGAAUCAUCAGAACUAGAGUGUCAAAAGAAGAAUCUAAGGAUCUCAGCAGUUUCUUCACAACUUCGUGAUCAGUGAUGUCUCGAGCUCCCAGUGCUUGCAGUUCAUUUGAUAUAUCAGUGAGGCAAUCAAAGGUGUCUUGGCAGCUUUCAUUGUCAUGUCUCUUGAAGCGAUUGAAGAGAUUGCGGAGAAUAUCAACACGAGAGUCACGUUGGGUUGAUACUCCUUCAUUUACCUUGCACAGUCUCUCCCAGAUCAGUGUUGCAGAGCCCAAGGCACUUACUCUUCCAAACUGGCCAGGGCUCAGAUGACCACAGAUGAUGUUCUUCGCUUGAGAAUCGAGCUGCUUGAAUUUCUCCACAUCAGCUGCAGUGACACUGGCAGAGAUGAUGGGGACUCCAUUUUCCACAAUAUACCAGAGAUCAUUAUCAAUAGCUUGUAAAUGCAUUUGCAUUUUGUUCUUCCAGAAGGGAGAGUUAUUUCCUUCGUAGGUAGGACAUGCUGCAGUCACUUUAAACAUGCCUGCAGUCGACAUAACUAAAACUCCACGUGGUUAAACCAAAAUCACACAGAACAAGGGAGUACCUUGCUCUGAUACCAUUUGAAAGUGCGUUAUAUCGACUAGAGGGGGGUGAAUAGGAGAUUUUUAGAAUUUCAUCGCUGAGGAAAUUCCUUUUGAGGAAAUUCCUCACUGAUGACUAACUUACAGCGGAAACAGUUACGGAUCAGACGUGCAAACUUUCACAAUAGCAGUAUUACAGAGUGAAGAAUGUGAAAAACAGAUUGCAUAGUAAGCAGGCACGCAGAAUACAGAUGAUGAUUAACUUAAGUGAAGAAUUUGGGGUUGAGGAAAUUCAGAGAAAGUCUUCAGCAAAUUCUUCAAACAGUCACAGUGGAAGUCAUCAACACAUAAUACAAAGACAGUAAAGAGUUGAGGAAUUAGAACCCGAUUCUUGGUGAAGACUGUUGUUGAUGACCCAGUUCCAACUGUUGUGACAGUUGUACAUCUGGCUUGGAGAAGCUUGGUAUUGAAACCAAAGGACACCCAGUCCCGGGACACACAGUCCCUACCGUAUUCUCCUUGAGCUAAGGACACACAGUCCUCGCCCAACACUCGUGGUAAGUCUUCAGGGCAGACUUCCAAACCCUCACAAACUCGGUCAUCCGGCGAUCCACAAUUGACUGCUGGAUUGCUCUAGACCAUGACGCCUAACCGUCUGGAGGAUGCACAGUCCUCAAAGGUAAAAGGCUUCAGUCCCACACAGGAACAACUUCUUCAGUGAUGCUCAAUCACUAGGUUUGGUUUGUGGUUUCGGUGGGUGGUGUAUUUCCUCACUGAUGAUUUACUCUCGAAGGUUCUGAGGAAUUUGGGUUGCUCUUAUGACAAGUGUCAGUUUCUAACGGAGCAGCCAACCAGCUAGUGGUUGUGGGGGCUGGCUAUUUAUAGCCUGAGAGCAUCCCGACAUGAUUUGACACUAAUGCCCUUAACUAAUAUGACCGUUGGAGUGGAUAAGACCAAUGACUUGGCGUGGUUAUCGAAACGGUCGGGACCCUCAACUGUGAGAGUCCUCAUGUCACUCAUAUUCCUCACUUGAGGCUUUUGGUAGGAUUAGGCUUGGGUUGAGCAUCAUGAGGAAAUCCAUUCCAUAGUGUUACUUUGACCCCCUUUAACAGUACGGUGUUCCUAUUCAUCAAAUGCGAAGAAAGUAAAACAGAAAACGAAAAUCUUCACGCUUCAAUUUCUUCAGAACGAUUUUCUUCAGGAACCACCGAUCUUCUUAAUAUCAAUAUCUUCAUGAGGAAUAUCAAUUUCAUCGCAGAUUCCUCGCGAUUCAUUUCUUCAGCUUCAGAGCAAAUUCUUCAACUGAAGACAUAUAUUUUUAGGGGUCGAUAUUCUUCAAAUAUCUCAAACUCCUCAAUGACUUAUAGAUCAUGUGUACACUUAUAAACACAUUAGAUACUUAACCUAUAAGUCUUCAAACCACCAAAAUCACUAAGGGGCACUAGAUGCACUUACAACAUCCUUGAGGUAUUUCUCCUGUGAUAUGAAGAUUCCAUUGCGUUGUUGACGAAUUUGAAGACCUAAGAAGAAUUUCAGCUCCCCCAUCAUAGACAUCUCAUAUUCUUCACUCAUCAUGUAAGCAAAUUCAUCACGGUAACGUUUGUCAGUACAACCAAAUAUGAUAUCAUCAACAUAUAUCUGGCACACAAAUAGUUCAUUAUCAUAGGAUUUAGUGAAAAGAGUUGGAUCGAGUGAACCAGGUUUGAAGCCUUUCUUCAUGAGGAAUUCCUUCAAUGUAUCAUACCACGCCCGAGGGGCUUGCUUGAGACCAUAGAGCGCCUUUUUGAGUCUGAAGACUUUGUCUGGAUUCUUUGGAUCCUCAAAAUCUGGGGGCUGAGCAACAUGUACUUCUUCCUCAAGCUUACCAUUGAGGAAUGCACUUUUCACAUCCAUUUGAUAUAAGAUGAUGUUAUGAUGAUUAACAUAAGCAAGUAGUAUUCGAAUAGCUUCAAGUCUAGCGACAGGUGCAAAAGUUUCAUCGAAAUCUAUUCCUUCAACCUGUGUGUAGCCUUGGGCUACAAGUCGUGCCUUAUUCAUCAACACUUGACCAUCCUCAUCUUGCUUGUUUAGGAAAAUACAAUUGGUUCCGAUGAUAUUGUGCUUGCGAGGAUCUGGUCGUUUGACGAGCUCCCAUACGUCAUUCAGCUUGAAUUGAAGAAGUUCGUCUUGCAUGGCUUGGAUCCACUCCGGUUCCAUGAAAGCCUCGGCAACUUUUGAAGGUUCUGUGAUAGACACAAAGGAUAAAUGCCCACAAAAGUUGACUAAGUGUGAAGCUUUUGAGCGAGUGAGAGGACCUGGCGCGUUGAUGUCAUUGAGGAUUUUGUCAAGUUCUACUUCAUUUGCAAUCCUCGGAUGAGCUGGUUGAGGAUUUCGUCUGGGCUGAGGAAUUGGUUCUGGAGAAAUUUCCUGAGGAGCAUCUUAUUGAUUUUCAUCAGUGCUGGGAAUGAUUUCUUCAUCAAUUUCCUCAGUGGGAACAAUAUCUUCAGAUGCUUUUAGCUUUAUUGCUUCCUCGGGAGACACCUUAUCUGGACCAGGAGGCAAUUGCUCUCUUUGCGAGCCAUUAGUUUCAUCGAACCGCACAUCUACAAUCUCAACAACCUUGUUGUGAUAGUUGUUGAAGACUCUAUAGGUGUGCGAGUCCUUUCCAUAACCGAGCAUAAAACCUUCAUGUGCCUUAGGUGCAAAUUUUGAGCUAUGGUGAGGAUCUCUAAUCCAACAUUUUGCACCGAAGACUUUGAAAUAACUUACAUUGGGUUUCUUGUCAGUGAGGAGUUCAUACGAGGUUUUCUUGAGGAAUUUGUGAAGAUAUACCCUAUUGAUGAUAUGGCAUGCAGUGUUGAUUGCUUCAGGCCAAAAGCGACGAGGAGUCUGAUAUUCUUCAAGCAUGGUUCUUGCCAUCCCAACCAGAGUCCUGUCCUUCCUUUCGACGACACCAUUCUGUUGAGGAGUAUAAGGAGCAGACAAUUCAUGAAUAAUACCAAGUUCAUCAAGAUAAUUAUCAAGACCAGUAUUUUUGAACUCUGUUCCAUUAUCACUCUUGGUGUGUUUGAUCUUGAUGUCGAAGUUCGUCGAGGCCCGUGAAGAAAAUCGUUUGAAGACUUCCUGCACUUCAGUUUUAUAUAGAAUGAUAUGCACCCAUGUAUAUCUAGAAUAGUCAUCAACUAUGACAAAGCCAUAUAAAGAUGCUGCAUUUGUUAGUGUGGCAUAAUGAGUAGGUCCAAAUAGAUCCAUGUGAUGAUUAGUGGUCAUGAUAGUCUUCGAGGGGUGCUUGGAUCUGGGUCUUUUCCCAGACUCACAAGCACCGCAGAGAUGGUCCUUGAGGAAUUUGACUGAUUCGAUGCCGAUGACAUGCUUCUUCUUCGCGAGCAUGUGCAAAUUCCUCAUGCCUGCAUGACUGAGUGUUCGAUGCCACAACCACCCUUCUGAGGUUUUUGCUAGUAAGCAAGUGGCUGGUUGAGGACCUGUAGAGAAAUUAACAAUGUACAAAUCCCCUCUUCUAACACCUUCGAAGACUUUGGAUUUGUCAGAUUCCAUGAUGACAACACAUAUAUAUCUUCCAAAGAUAACAAUCAUAUCAAGAUCACAAAGCAUUGAGACUGACAUGAGGUUAAAUCCAAGGCAUUCAACAAGCAUCACUUUGUCCAUGUGCCUAUCCUUGGAAAUAGCCACUUUGCCAAGUCCCAAUACCUUGCUUUUACCUUUGUCAGCAUAUGUGAUUUGCUUCAGUGGUGAUGGAGUUAGUGGCAUAUUCAUCAGCAAGUUUUUGUCACCAGUCAUGUGAUGUGUGCAGCCACUAUCAAGAACCCACUCAGUACUCUUGGGUUUGUCAUCCUGCAGAUGAAUUAGUACAGCUUACCAUCUCAUAUGCUUCAGCUUUGAAGAAUAUGAUAUCAAUUUCAUCAGAUAGGAAUUUCAUCAUAAACAGAAUUAUAAGGACGUGUGAAAUAUUUCUAUUUCAUCAAUAUUAGCUUGCGUCCUAUCAAACAUUUUCCUCAGGUCUCCAACAAAUUCUUCACAUAAUGAUUUUCAUCUGGAGACCUGACCUCCAGAAGUGAUUAGUUCAAUUUCUUCACCACCCACAUCUGAAGAGGUGGUAAAGCAUUCAUCAUCAUGCGAGCACCAUAUGAGAAAGGAGGCAUUGAAGCUAAUGCACUUCUCUUAACAGUAGAGGGGUUAAAGCACUCAAAUGAAUAUGCACAGAACUAAUUUGAGGAUUUAUGAACAUAAUGAUUUGAAAAAUAAUGCUCAUAUUCAUAUUCCUUGUAAUUUCCCUGCAUGUUAGAAGCAUUAGCACGGGUACGAGCAUAGUUUUGACCAGUUGAGGAUUUUGAUCGUCUUGAAGACUUUGGUCCUCGUGAGGAAUUUGAUCUGGGGUUCAAAUUCUUCAUAGGUGGUGUCAUGAGGACAUUCACCUGAAGAUUUUCAAGGCAACUUUUGGGAACCCAGAUUUUCCUCAGGGGAGGCCCAUUCCUGCAGUUAGUUCCAACAUAUCGAGCAAAUACUUCACCAGAUUGAUUUUUGAACAGUUUAUAGUUGGAGUCAAAUGACUCAUCUGAGGAAUAAGAUAAUUCACAUGAAAAGCAUGUUAGAUUGGAUGGAUCAAAUGGAGGCCCAGUAGCAGCAACCCAUGAGGUUUUGGGAUACUGCUCAGGUUUCCAAUAAGAUCCAUCAGCAUUCAAUUUCCUCUCAAAGGCAAUUCCUUCUUUCCUCGGGUUCAUGUUCAAGAUCUGCUUUUUGAGCACAUCACAAAGGGUUUGAUGUCCUUUGAGACUUUUGUAUAUGCCUGUCACAUACAAUUCCUUCAGCCCUGCAUUUUCAUCAGUGACAUUUGUGGUUUCCUCAAGUGAGGAAUUUGAUACUACAGGAGCAGUUGAAGAAUUUGUAGCAAUAGAAGCAUUUGAUGAUUCUGGUGAAGAAUUAGUAGUUUCACGUUCGAUGCAUGUAAGACAGGGAAGAAUGAAUUCAGCUUGAGCAGCACUGAUCUAUUGAGCUAGUAAUGAAUCAUUUUCCAUACGAAGAUCAUCAUGAGAAAUCCUCAGCUUCUCUAGAUCAAGCUUCCUUUGAAGAAAUUCAUAGGAAAGUUUAUCAUGAUCAGCGAGGAGUGUAACAUGACAAUCUUCAAGAUUAUCAAAUCUGGACUGAAGACUUUUCAAGUCUUCAGUGAGGAUUUGGGUAAGAUUCAUUUCAUCAUUCAACAGAUCAUCGCUUCUAUCUAGCAGUUUCUGAAGCUUUUCCAGGGCAGUUUGUUGUUUAGUGGCAAUGAUAGCAAGUUUACUGUAACUUGGUUUUCUAUAAUCAUCAGGCUCACAGUCACUUGAAUCAGAGGAGGAAGCAUCAUUCGGUACCUUUGAACCUUUUGCCAUGAAGCAAUAGGUUGGAGCAAAGUCAUCAGCAUAGUCAUCAGUGUGGAUGGUGUUAUCAUUUUCUUCAAGGUUGAAGACUGACUUGCUGACGAAUGUGGUUGCAAGUGCAAGGCUAGCCUGUGCAGAUUCCGAGUCUUCAUCAGAACCCUCCUCUUCAUCACAUUCCUCGGGUUCUGCCUCGGAGUCCAUUUCCUUGCCAAUAAGUGCCCAAGCCUUUCUGAAACUAGUCUUCUUGUGCGAUGAGGACUUUGAGGAUGAGGAUUUUGAAGAUUUCUUCUUUUUCUUCGAGUCAUCAGAACUUUCAUCCUUGUAUUUCUUCUUCUUUGAUUCCUUUCCCCAACGAGGACAAUCAGCAAUGUAGUGACCUGAUUUCUUGCAUUUGUGGCAGGUUCUUUUCUUGUAGUCCUCAGAUGAAGAGUCUGAUUUCCUCAUAUCUCUUCUUGAAGAUUUACCAAACUGGCCACGUCGUGUCAACUUCUGGAAUUUCCUCAUGAGCAUUGCAAGCUCCUGUCCAAAUUUUUCAGGAUUACCAAUGCUACCAUCCGAGUCUUCUUCUUCAGAUGAGGAAAUUGCUUUGGCCUUCAGUGCACGUGGUCUAGAAUAACUUGGUCCAUAUAGAUCUCUCUUUUCUUCUUGUUGGAAUUCAUGAGUAUUGAGUCUUUCGAGUAUAUCAGCUGGAUCAAGCAUCUUGUAGUAUGGUCUUUCUUGAAUCAUCAGAACUAAAGUAUCAAAUGAAGAAUCCAAAGAUCUUAGCAGUUUCUUCACAACUUCGUGAUCAGUAAUGUCUCGAGCUCCCACUGCUUGCAGUUCAUUUGAUAUGUCGGUGAGGCGAUCAGAGGUAUCUUGGCAGCUUUCAUUGUCAAACCUCUUGAAGCGAUUGAAGAGAUUGCGAAGAACAUCAACACGAGAAUCACGUUGGGUUGAUACUCCUUCAUUCACUUUGGACAUCCUUUCCCAGAUAAGUUUUGCUGAGCCCAAAGCACUUACUCUGCCAUACUGGCCCUUGCUCAGAUGGCCACAGAUGAUAUUCUUCGCCUGAGAAUCAAGUUGCUUGAAUUUCUUCACAUCAGCGGCAGAGACAGUAGCAGUGACGAUAGGGACGUCAUGUUCCAAAAUAUACAAUAGAUCGUUGUCAAUAGCUUGUAGAUGCAUCUGCAUCUUGGUCUUCCAGAAGGGAAAGUCCUUUUCUUCGAAAGUAGGACAUGAUGCAGUAACCUUGAUCAUGCCUGCAGUCGACAUAACUAAAAAUCCAGGUGGUUAAACCAAAAUCACACAGAACAAGGGAGUACCUUGCUCUGAUACCAAUUGAAAGUGUGUUAUAUCGACUAGAGGGGGGAGGGGUGAAUAGGAGAUUUUUAGAAUUUCAUCACUGAGGAAAUUCCUUUUGAGGAAAUUCCUCACUGAUGACUAACUUACAACGUAAACAACAAAGGAUUAGAAGUGCAAAGUAUCACUACAACAGUUUUCAAGGUGAAGAAUAUGAAAAACAGUUUGCACAGUAUGCAGGCACGGAGAAAACAAAUGAGGAUUAACUCGCGUGAAGAAUUUGGGGUUGAGGAAUUUCAGAGAAAGUCUUCAGCAAAUUCUUCAAACAGUGACAGUGAAAAUCAUCAUCAUACAAUCUGAGGAAUGUAAGGAGUUGAAGAAAUAGAACCCGUUUCACAGUGAAGAUAGUGGUUGAUGACCCAGUUCCAACUGUUGUGAUAGUUGUACAUCUGGUUUGGGGCGGCUUGGUAUUGAAACCAAAAGACACACAGUCCCAGGACACACAGUCCCUAUUGUAUUAUCCUUGGGCUAAGAACACACAGUCCUCGCCCAACACUCGUGGUAAGUCUUCAGGGCAUACUUCCAAACCCUCACAAACUUGGUCACCCGACGAUCCACAAUUGACUGCUGGAUUGCUCUAGACCAUGACGCCUAACCGUCUAGAGGAUGCACAGUCCUCAAAGGUAAAAGGCUUCAGUCCCACACAGGAACAACUUCUUCAGUGAUGCUCAAUCACUUGGUUUUCGGUUUGUGGUUUGGUGUUUGGGGUAUUUCCUCACUGAUGAAUUAUUCUCGAAGACUGUGGGGAAUUUGGGUUGCUCUUAUGACAAGUGUCAGUUUCUAACAGAGCAGCCAACCAACUAAUGGUUGUGGGGGCGACUAUUUAUAGCCUGGGAGCAUCCUGACAUGAUUUGACAUUAAUGCCCUUAAAUAAUAUGACCGUUGGUGUGGAUAAGACAAAUGAUGUGGCGCGACUAUCGGUAACGGUCGGGACCCUCAAUUGUGAGAGUCCUCAUGUCUCUCAUAUUCCUCACUUGAGGCUUUUGGUAGGAUUAGGCUUGGGUUGAGCAUCAUGAGGAAAUUCAUUCCAAUGUGUUACUUUGACCCCCUUUAACAGUACGGUGUUCCUAUUACUCAAGUGUGAAGAAAAUAAAACAAAAAGGAUAAAUCUUCAUGCUUCAAAGUCUUCAGAUUGAUUUUCUUCAGGAUGCACCGAACUCCUCAUUUUCAAUAUCUUCAUGAGGAAUAUCAAUUUCAUUGCAAUUUCUUCGCGAUUCCAUUCUUCAGCUUCAGACCAAUUUCUUUAGCCGAAGAUAUACAUUUCUAGGGGUCGAUAUUCAUCGUAUAUUUCAAACUCCUCGGCGACUUAUAGAUCCCGUGUACACUCACGAACACAUUAGAUACUUAACCUAUAAGUCUUCAAACCACCAAAAACACUAAGGGGCACUAGAUGCACUUACACAAUAUUUUCGUGGAUAGGAUCGCACGGGCUCUAUCCUACAGUAGCCAUCAUGUACAAGGCAGUGCACACGCCAUACGAAGCGUCCCCGAGUCGUAGCAAGCUACAAUGACUCUUUAAGACACAAUGAGAACCGCUAUAAGACGACCGUGAACAAACAAAUCCACUAGAUGCCGAACCCCAAUCUCACAUCAUGUAUUUGUUGGAAGAUUGUCCCACAAGUAACUACUUGAAUUCGCACCUAAGAACUACCGAAAAAUUCUGGUCAUGCAAUCGGGUCCACAGAUACAAGGAGAAAUUCAUCACUCAACUCCUAGCAUCUAACCCAUCCAGUGUAUCACAUCCGUCAACACAUAACCAGAGAUCUCGGAAACUCAUCUACCUCAGAUCCUCGUGAUCACAACGAUACUAAGUAUGCCGGUACCCCCGAACUCUCUACACCAUUACUGGGGAUGCCAGGCUUAUAUUGCCACUACUAGUAUUGAAGCAAUUUCGAAUAUCCUUCGCCCUGAGAUACUAAGAAAUCUUAAUGAUAAUGGUGUGCUCAAGAAUCCCUUGGAGCUCAACUCCCCGGAAUAAAAUCAACACAACAGGAGGCACCAAGUCAGAACUCCGUCACAUCGACAUCAUAUAGAUUCCAAAAAUAUCCGCGUGAUCCUAAUUUUUUUUAGUGGGAAGAGGAGUAGAAUUAAAUUUAUUACGUCAAGAUUCCUCACCAGAGCAUAGAAGAGGAGAAAAAAGAAUCCUACUCUCCGAUAUAUAACUAGACUCAAAGCAGUUUUUCACUAGACUCAAAUCGGCCAAGUUCGAUCAAUCAAGGGGGCUCCUAGGUUGGUACUGCUCUCAUACCAACUUUUAAAGCCCAAGAUGCGAUCCUAUCCUUAUUUUGGUGCCAGGGCCUCGACAGGGAUAUAAGCGCAUCUCAUCGUUUCGCAAGAAUGGAUAUCGUUUCAAGUACAUGUACAGAAUAGAUGAGUAUAUGGAAUUGACCUACACUUGCCACAUGCUACAUCAGAGUCACAUAAUACAACAACAUAAUCAAUCAUCAUGAAGAAGAGAAGGGUCCGACUAUGGACAAAAACAAAUGAUAAAAGAACGACGUCCAUCCUUGCUAUCCCAGGCUGCCGCCCUGGAACCCAUCAUCCUAGAUCGAAGAAGAAGAAGAAGAAGAAAAACUCCAAAUAGCACAAUCAACGCACUCUCGUCAAAGUAACUCUUUACCUGUACCUGCAACUAAUGUUGUAGUAAUCUGUGAGCCAUAGGGACUCAUCAAUCUCAUUUCGAAAGGUAUCAAGACUAGCAAAGCUUAAUGGGUGAGGUAUGGUUAAGUGGUGAGGUUGUAGCAAGCGACUAAGCAUUUAUUUGAGGUGGCCAACUUACGAGUACAAGAAUAAGAGGGGGAUAAUGUACACAUAGAGGAUGCGAACUACUGAUGAUCAAAUGAAUGAUCCUGUACACCUACUUACGUCACACAUAACCCCACCGGGUCCUCGAUCGGAGAAGGAGCUCACGAAAGAGAUAAUCAUGGUUACGCACUCAGUUGGCAAGUUUUAAUUAAGUUUACUUCAAGUUAUCUAGAACGGGGUGUUAAACAAAGGUUCCAAGUUUGCCACAUAACGAUGGGCACGGCUUUCCGAAAGAUUUAACCCUGCACGGGUGCUCUAACUAGUCCAUCACAAACUACCACACGCUACGAAGGAAUGACCUCGAUCAGGGGAAACCCGUGAUCUCCCCGGGUUCCUAUUGGAAAACCUCAACAUGGAGAUAGCCCAAAGUAUCCUCGGAAUCCCUCGCACAAGGCGCUCGAUAAAGGUAAAACAAGUCCAGCAAGGCCGCCCAACGUGUCCACGAUCCCGACAGAAGCUGCAUAUCUCGUUCUCAGGACACGACGGAUGAGAAAUACGUACGGUGGCCGGAUAGACAUCCCCCGAGUUGCCCCGGGUGGCCCCGCAAGUGGCUCUGUUUGGGACCAACACCAACAACACUGCCCCCUGUAUUAUGUUGAAUUACUCCUUGGGUUCAUGACGCCCUAUGUUUUCAGUAUUAACAAAAUUAUUAUGUUGGGAAAAUAUAGUACCAAUGUUGGGCCUUGCCAGACGAGCUUUAUCCUAAAACCAGAAUCAGGGGGUCCCCAUAACAACCCCAAGCAUGUUAGGAGCACUCAUUUAUGAACAUAACACCGGUAGGCGAAACUAAGGUGACAAAGGUGGAACAAAACACCAGGCUAGAAGACCGAGCCUUCCACCUUUUACCAAAUAUAUAGGUGCAUUAAUUUAAAUAGCAUUAAUACGGUGGUAUAACAAGGAACCCGUGUUUUCACAUGGAAUCAACUACACCUGCAACUAGCAACACCAUCCAAUGGUUAAGCAAGCAGUAACAUAACAAGAGAAACGAGACAAUUAGCAUGACAUUGAUAGUAAUGGUAUAUAGAGAAAUGUUCAUCUUGCCUGUGAUCCUGAUUGGAAGAAGAACGACUCCGUGAAGUAGACGAACCGACAUGGUCGAACGGAUCCUCACAUUCCGACACGCUUGCGGAACUCUAUCGAAGCGAAGCAAACUGCAAACAAGAAUCAACACACGAUAUUCACCACGGCACAUGCAUGACAUGAUGCACAACACAUAUGAUGCACGAUCGGUUUAAAUUAUGCAAGGCAUGACAUGACAAUUCACAUCACGCAAACACUACACAUUAAGUGAAGCUCAAUAUGCAACGAGUUGCAUAUUGACAAAACAUCACAUACAAAUUAUGUAGUUCACUCCCGUUUAGGUACUCGACAAUAUUAAAUGUUGUUAAACAUGGCAAGGGGUGAAGCAUAAAUAGACUACCUAUUUAGGCAUUUUAAAUGAGGUCAGAAACGUCAUAUAGCAUCUCCGAACUAACCCCAUGUGUUAACUUCAGAAUCUGUCCAGAUUUGACCUAAUCACAUUUUAUGUUUGUUAAAAGUGGUUUAUGUGAUUCUGCUCGUCGUUCUAGUCCAUUUACAUAUAUGGCUCAUCUCCAGCGGAGCUACAAUUAAUUAACUACGAACUAAACCGUUUUUAACACGUUGUCACACAAACUAAUGCAAACAGCACGACUAACAGCUUUAAACAUGCAUGAGAGUUGGAAAAUAUUAAUCUACGCGAAAUUCUACACGUUUUACAUAUAUAAUUUAUCGCGAUCCGACGCACGGUUUGAAAACUACGGGCGUUUGAAAAUAAACAUUUUUUCUAAAAAUACUAAAUUCGCAAAACGUAAAAAAAUACUAAACGGGCUGGUUGGCUGGCUCGGGCUCCGGAAGGGCGGGCCAGAUCCGAGCCUGAGUGGGCCUGGCGGCUGGGAGGAGAGAGGAAGUGGAAGAGAGUCGCGGUCACGGAUUUCGAGGAGGAAUUAGGGUUUGCUGAAUCAGGCAAGGAUGGCUAUCUAUUUAAAGAGAGGGGGCUAGGGUUAGCAGAUUUCGUCCGAAUUUGGACCGCAGGAUCGUGAUCGGACGACUCCGGUAGUGGGUAGUGGCUAGGUUAGGGCUUAGUGGCCAUGUAGAGGGGUUUGUGGGCUAAGAAGAGAGAGAAAUUGUGGUCCGUAACACGCAUUUUAAAACAACGAAAACAUCCGGCAAUUAAACCGGCUAUAGUGCCGCUAUAUAUUUAACGGUACAGGUAUCAAACGUGCUUCGAUUGUGACGAAAUUUGGCACACGACCUACCUACAUUAUAACAAGACCGCACGCCAAGUUUCAACCCAAUCUCAGAAAGUUCCAUACACACUUUUAAAAACAAAUAUUUUACGAUGACGCGGGCGCGUGCGUGUGUGGUUGGUCUCGAAACGGUCAACGACGAAACACAGAGAGAACCGACAACUAAAAACGGAUGCAAGUUUUGAAAACUGGCGGCAACGUAGUGCCGAUGCAAUGGAGAUGAUGCGAAUGAUGCGAUGAUGGAUGCGACAGACAAUCUAAUCGCACGACGACAAUGGAAUAAGAGGGAAAUCUUCUCGAACGUCGGUCUCGGGCUGUCACACCUCUUGCCCGACAUAGAUCUCCCUCUUCCAGUCUUCCCUGUCCCUUUCUCUUUGAUUACCAACUCUCGGGGAGGCGUGAUCCCCGAUUCCAAACGCCAAUCCCUUAUCGGAGAUGAACACAACAACACACGAAAGGCUAUCGGCGACAUGUCGAAAAUGCUCGAACCGGCGCCCCCGUGCAAGAACCAUGGCGACUAGGGGACUGCAACGGUGACAUGAGGACAACUACAAACGGCGGUGCCAAUACUACAACCAUGGACGUAAAAAUCUACAUCUAUUAGAUAAAAAAACUUCAAUCACACUUCAGAACACAUGAAAAGUUACAACCGUUCUAACAAAAGCUUCAUCCCGCAGAUGAAAAAGCUUCAACCACAUAUAGAAAAAUCUUUAACGAGCGACUACAAAAGCUUCAAGCAAUUUUUGGAACAUAUGAAAUGUUGCAAUAGUUUUUUUGAAAGGCUUCAUCCAACAGAUGAAAAAGCUUCAAUUAGAGUUUUUAAGAAAGCUUCAACUAGUUUUCGAAACACAUGAAAUGUUGUAACCGUUUAAAAAAAACUUCAACCGAGAGAUGAAAAAGCUUCAACGAGAGUUUUUGAGAAAGUUUCAACCAAAAUGUUUUGCAACCAAUGCCGUCAUUUUUGUUGAAACCGAGAGUGUCAUUUGCUACAACCGUGACUCAAUUUUGUUGCGAGCGAACAUGCCGAGCUACAACCGGCGACUACGACGACAAGACGUUUUUAUUGCAACUGUAUUUAUUUUUUGCUAUUACCAGCAACUUGUUUUGCUGCAUUGUUUGUUCUUUUUCUUUAAAAACGAACUAACCACAUGACACGCUCUAGUCGGGAUGAGAUGGUUGUGGUUGGUUUCUGCGAGCUCCGUCGACAUCGACGGGCACGGGGACGAGGGCGGCUAUGAAAGCAGUGACGAGCACGACGAAGAUGACGCGAUGCUUCGAGCGGCGGGGGCGGCAGGCGGCGACAGGAAACGGGGACGACCGACGUUGUGCGGGCAAGAAAAAAAAGGCGGCUGCUACAAAGAAAAAUCAGUCGGCUUCAGAACCGUCUGAUCAGGCCCCUCCUCUCAUGCGAAUCUCCCUCUGAACAUCAUAGCCUUGCAUCAGCCACAACACUAGAGCUCAUCUUCCAAAGCAUAGCUUCCCCGUCGCCGUCGAGAUCCAUGGGGUCACCACACCAAUAACACUGCACUGCAGCUCUCGUCCUCCGAUGAGGUCCACCAGUUGCCGCACCAUAUAUUGCACUGCAGCUCCGCCGUGCCACCAAUGAAGUCAGUCGCAGCAGCAUGAACGCUACAAUGCAACUCCCCCUCCUCGUCGGCAAGGUCCAUCGGCAGCACCACGCGUUGCACUCCAGCUCCGUCGUGCCGUCGCUGAGAUGGUCGCAUCACCGUGAACGCUGCACUUCAGCUUCCCUGUCGGUGAGGUUCGCCGGUCGCAACACCUUGUGUUGCACUGCAGCUCCCCUAGCGCGGCUCGCUCCGGUGAGGUUUGCCGGUCGCAGCACCUUGUGUUGCACUGCAGCUCCCCCUGGCGCGGCUCGUUCCGGUGAGGUUCGCCGGUCGUAGCACCUUGUGUUGCACUGCAGCUCCCUCUGGCGCGGCCCGCUCCGGUGAGGUUCGCCGGUCGCAGCACCUUGUGUUGCACUGCAGCUCCCUCUGGCGCGGCCCGCUCCGGUGAGGUUCGCCGGUCGCAGCACCUUGUGUUGCACUGCAGCUCCCUCUGGCGCGGCCCGCUCCGGUGAGGUUCGCCGGUCGCAGCACCUUGUGUUGCACUGCAGCUUCCCCCUGACGCGGCCCGCUCUGCAGAACCAAGCGAUUCUUCGUUUGCAACCCCGACGACAGUUGUUGGGGAGUUGCAGGUUCAUCACUGGAGUGUUGCACGCCUCCUGCGGCUGCCUGGACGAGGGCCAUGACGAAGGUUAGAGAGGGAUGUAGAGAAGAAAAAGAUGGAAAAUGGGGAUCUCGCUCGUGUGUUGGUAGAAAUGAGUGGCUCUGGUUGCUGCGCUCAAGAUAAGGUAGAUGGUGGGUGGAUGGGCCCAUAUGGACGUGCGGCGUGACACGAUCGAUGACGCGUGGCGCGAGCGCGACCCGGCUGAUUUAGAACGUUUUUCAAAAAAAAAAAGGUAAGGCAAACUGUUUUUUUAACGAAGAUGCAACGAUCCACGCGGUCAAGAUCCAACAAUUGUGAUGCGACCGGCGCAAAUUAGCACUCGCCAAUCGCCAUCCCUCCUUCGCCUCGUCCCAAACCCACCUGACCGUCGAAGACCCCCGCAUAAACGUCACCUCGAAGGUUGUCUUCCCCUUCCCCGGUGUCACGAGAGCGCCUUCUCGCCAAAGCAGUCCCGUUACCUCCAACUCCAAGUGAAGAAACUCAGGCUUCCUCGCCUCCAUCUCUACCUGGUUGGCGUGCCAUCUGGACCCGAUUCGUUUCGUCGGUAAGGAGACCCUAGCUUGCAUAGAUCCCACUUCGUCUUGAUCUUUCCUUUGCAGUGAAGUGUUAUCAAAUCAAAACGUGUGCCUCAUCUACGACAUCCGAUCCGACUUGACCCCAUCCGAUCGAGGCGGGAAGAAUCCACCCAUGCUUUUCUUUUGGUAUUAACCCUGACCUCGUACUUCUAGGAGUUUCUUUUCGCAAUAUUAGAAUCGGCGGGUUCAGCUGAACCAGCAUGCCCUGCUUCAAGUCUGCCUCUUACCUUGGGCCUCUGAUUAUGUUGGUCUCGGGGAUUCUUACUCCGAUGUUGGUUGCCUUUUGUGUUCGUGAAGUUUGUUAUUAGGAGACACAGGUUAUUUCACUGUAGGAGAUUUAGGAAGUUAACCCUAUUAUAUGCGUUUAUGCUUGUCAUAAUUGUUACUUCUCCUGUGUUUGGACAUUUAUGGUCAUCAAGUAUUUGAUCUGGCCAAAACUCCAGCUUUCUAGGAUAUGGAUUCCUGGAAAUUCGUGCUAUGAUUUCGGAAUUUUAUCUAGUAAAGUUAUGGGAAAUAAUCGACUUGGAACUCAAUUUGUAGGUGCUUGUUCAGGGCAUGUACAAUGAAGCAGCAUCCUGGUGCUGCCCCAGCCCACCCACAUCAGCGCACAUCAGCGCAUGGAACUGAGACCACUGUUCAGCUUCACAUAUAUCCAACGCGUGUAUGUCCAUAUGACGUGAGCCGUUGCCCUUUUUCCCUGUUACAACAUAUGUGGAUUGUACUGUGCUUUUCCAUCAGUUCAGACUUUUUGUUGCGUUGAUUAGUGGAUGAAGCUUAACAUGGUAUCGGAGCCAAGGUCUCGAGUUCAAGUCCUGAUUUUUGCAAUUUAUUUAAAAAAUUGCUGGUAGCCUCCUUUGUGUCCACGUAGAGGCUUCUUGAGUCAUACAUGAGUUGCGCGCACCGUUGCUCUCUUUCGGUUGCACGUGUUGAAUUGUCUUUUCCGUCACACGUGAGAGGGGGUAUUAUAGUAUAUGUGAAUUGUACUGGCCCUUUUCAUCAGUUCGGAUUUUUGGUUGCGUUGGCUAAUGUAUGAAGCUUAACAUUUCCAUUCUUUACAUUUUCCUAUCUAUUCCUCUUAUCCUAUCUUUUUCUUUCCUUUUUCUUCUGUCUCACAUUUUUCAUGGAGAGACCGCCUCCUGCAAAGGAGCCUCUCUUUUUCUUCUCUCUCACAUUUUUCAUGGAGAGACCGCCUCCUGCAGAGGAGCCUCUGACAACUUGGGAGCAUUAGUUUGAAUCGUCACGGGGGCUUCUGUAGGAUCGAAAGUAUGUCUAGAAGGGGGGGUGAUUAGACUACUUCACAAGAUUUUUUUUUUUGCAUUUUCCCAAUUUUACUUGAGAGGCAGCUACGACAGUUAUAACAGAUAAAGUACACCCUACACAUGCAGUUCUAGUAGUAUUGCAGUGGAAAGUAAAACAUGCAAGUGUAAAGUAAAGGAGUGAGGUAGGGAGAUCAAACGCAUGAGGUUGACACGACGAUUUUUGGCAUGGUUUCGAUAGGUGGCGCUAUCGUACGUCCAUGUUAGUGGAGACUUCAACCCACGGAGGGUAACGGUUGCGAGAGUCCACACAGGGCUCCACCCACAAGGGGUCCACAAAGAAGCGGCCUUUUCUAUUCCACCACGGUUUACGUCUACACAGGACUAGCCUCACGCACGGUAGAUCUUUACGAAGUAGGCGAUCUUCUUGCCCUUACAAACAUCUUGGUUCAACUCCACAACACACAGUAGGAGGCUCCCAAGCGACACCUAACCAAUCUAGGAGGGACCACCCUCCAAAAGGUAAUAGAUGUCGUUGAUCAAUGAACUCCUUGCUCUUGUGCUUCUAAAGAUAGUCUCCUCAACACAAAUUACUCUAUCACAGAAUAUGCAUGGGUAGGAGAGGUUGAUUUGGUGAAAAGCAGUUUGGGGAGGCUAGAGAUCAAGUUUCAAAUGAUUGAAUUGUAAUAUCUUGGUCUCAACACAUGAGUAGGUGGUUCUCUCUCAGAAAAUGGAUCUGUAAAUGAAGUGUGUGUUCUGAGUGCUUCUCUCAUGAAUGAGAGGUGGGUGAAGGGGUAUAUAUAGGCAGCAGCCAAAAUCCAACCGUUAGGCACAAAAGUGCAAACUCGGUGACACCGAACUGGACAACUCGGUGGUACCGACUAGUACUAAAGAUGUGAACUUUUUGAAUCUCGGUGAGACCGAUAUAUGAAACUCGGUGGCACCGAAAAGGUGAGUAACGGUCAGAUGACCAAACUCGGUGGCACCGAUACUCAAACUCGAUGGCACCGAAAAGGUGACGAACGGUCAGAUGACCGAACUCGGUGGCACCGAUACUCAAACUCGGAAAUUCCGAUUUUGUGUAUUUUGGCAACAGAAUGUUGGUAACAUUGAACUCGGUAGCACCGAUGCAGUUUCGGUUGCACUGAUAUGGUGGGAAUGGCUAGGGUUCUGUCUGAGGUUCAAACUCGGUGGGUCCGAAGUGGCAAUGUUGGUUACACCGAAUUUGUGUAUGUGGAACUUGACAGAGUAAAUAUGUGGGAAGAAUGACUGAGUGUUUUGGAUGCUAACUUUGAGCAUUUGUGCAAUCAGUUCAUUUUACUACCUCACCCCCUUUUAAUAGUAUUGACUUUCCUAUGGACUCAAAAGUGAUUUCUCACAAAUGUAAAAUGAAGAGUUUUGUAGCUUGAAACUUGAGUGAAUAUUAUGUAUCCAGGGGUAUCUUCACAUAAACCUUAAGCCAUAACAUCUUUUAAACUUUUCUAAAAUAUACUUGAAAAACAUAUUAGUCUAAUAAUGCAUAUGUUGUGAUCAAUUAUCAAAACCAUCCUAGGGAGCAAUUGUGCUUUCAAUCUCUCCAUUUUUGGUAAUUGAUGGCAACACAUAGAUCAAAGCUUCGAUAAAAGAUAUAAUCAAUGAUUAGAAUCGAUGCUUUGAGAAGUAUGUGAAAAGCAAGAGCUCCCCCUAAAUUUGUGUAUUAUUUAAAAUUUGCGUUUGAAUGCAAAUGCACAAUCGAUUAGGAUCAUGGGUUACUCUUCCAUGUCACAUACAUCUUGGUGGUGCGUAAAAGUAAAAAGUAAUGCACAUGACACCAACAAGAUAAGUGAGUGAUUAUCACAAGGAUAGCUAAAAGAUGAUAUAGUAGCAUCACACAGGAUAAAGCGUAUGAUCACACACACAGACAUGAUAAAGUCAUCCAAAAACCAAAGUUUUUAAAACCAAACGAGAGCAAAUAAUGUCAAAAGCUCGCUCUCACACGAAGUCUAUGAUCUAUACAUUUCUUCCCCUUUGGCAACAAGUUACCAAAAAAUUCAAAAGUAUAGAACUACUCGUCUCUCUAGGCAGCUGAUGAUGGAGUCGAUAAAACAGCGUCGGUGAAGGCUUCUGCUGACGUCCCUGGAGCUGGAGGAGUUGAUACUGAAGGAGCUUGAGCUUGAGCUAGUGCUGAAGCUUGUGCUGAAGAUGUCUGUCGUGUCUCCGGAACAGGAACAUCAACUGACCGAGGCUGGGUGCUGAAUCUAGUGGUAGUGGGAGGAGACUCAUCCUCGUCAUCAUCUUCAUCUUCAUCCUCUGAGCGUGGAAUCUCCAAAGAGUUAACUUCAUGUUAAAACUGUCUGACAAUGGUGGUCAACUCAGUUACCUUCAAAUCCAUAUUGUGGAACUUUGUCGCCACAACUCUCUCAAGGCUCUUCUGAUUUAGCAUAAUCUGCUGAAUGUUUUUCUCCAUGCCUUGGACAGUGCUCACUAGAAAUGCCAUUUGCUCAACUUGAGUUCUGAGCUGUGGAACUGGAGGUGGCCUAUUUCUAGCAGCUUCAGCCCCUGUUGCCAUUCUUGCUGCAGCUGAGUUGAGAUCAUUAUCAUCCAUCACAACCUCAUUAUCUUCAAAUUCAGGCUGAAGAGGUAGAUGGGGACGAUCAAGUUGAUAUGCAUGCUUGCCUAGCUUGGUAUCGAUGAGCAUCUGAAUAUAGGGUGCAUAUCCACAGGAUCUCUUUUGAUCCGCAGCAGUCCUUCGGAUAGUCUCAACUAUCAAAUCCAUCAGACGAAAUUUGGUAUGGGUAUCAAGUAGGUGCAGCAGGUUGAUUGAAUAUCCUCUAAUCAUCUUCUCAUCUCAUGACUUAGGCAUGAGAGUGUAUCGCAGGAUAGUGUUUGUUGUGGGAAUACCACCUUGCAGAAAAUAUACUGAACCAAACUUGUGACUGGCCAAGUAUUGAUGAAGAAUGGUCUUGUACAUGUUGGCCAUGGAGUUGUGAUUCUGCUUAGCUUCUGCAUACACAUCUACAUCUGCAUCUUCCUGCUUGGGAACACCAAUGAUAGCAGCCCAUUCAACAAUUGUAGCAUUGUACCUGUGUCCAUCGGUCAUCCAGACUAAAGAGUCAUCAUAGAAAUAAACUGUUGCAUAGAAUUGCAUGAUCAUCUCGUCAUUCCAUGGGGUCAUCUCCUUCCCAACAAAGUCUUCUAUGUCAACAAGCCUGAAAUUCUCUUGAACAUGUGGAAAUAAAUUUUCAUUCUCCUUGAUGUAUGCCCAGUCGACAUACCUCAUAUCACUGACAGUAGGAC
rnacentral:lncRNA from 1 species